UGUCGUUUUCUUGGAUACAAUCACCAACCUCCUCCCUUUUUAUUAAAAAGAAAAAGGAAAAAGAGUAAAAUAGAUUAAAAUAAAAAAGUCAUUGUUGUAUGAAGGUGACACAGAGAGAGGGGAGAAUCUGUGAGAGUAGAAGUCAUGAUCCUGCAUCUAGUAUAAAAUAUGAAAAUGACUCAAAUCAUGCCAAAACAUAGUUCUUACUUAAUGGAAACAACGCUUAAAAACAUGCAUUAGUAACCUUUCAGAAAUCUAGUGCAACAGAUACGAAACCUGUACAAGAAUUGAAUCAUCCAUGGUGGUUUAUUCAAAAUCAUUUCAAUUUUUUUUUGGGUAAAAAUCAAAAUUCAACUAUGUAUACGAUAAGUAAAUUAUAAGUAAAUCACGAUCAUGUCAUAAAAAUCAAAUUUCAAAAUUACAACACAUGUCAUGUUCGUCUUUUUCUUUCAUUUUUCUUCGUCUUUUUCUUUCAUUUAUUUUUUUUUCUCAUCCUUUUUUCAUCUUUUUCUUCAUUUUUUCUUCAUUCCUUUCAUGUAUACGAUAACCUUACAAUCAUCAUUCAAAUCCAAUAUUAAAUCAAAACUAAAACUUGAUUUCUACAUAAUAAAAUCCAAAACCCAGAAGUCAGAAUCUAUAAAAUCCAAAACCCAAAACAACCAAUUAAUUGUUGGGAGAUUGAAAAUAUUGGGCGAAAGUCACAUGCAAAAUAAAAUUUAGCAGUAAGCAUUAAAUUUUGUUGAAAUUAACAAAAGAAGGUAGAAUUAGACGAAUGUGUGUGUCUGUGCAAUGUGCAAGUGGGUUUUUAAAGUUACAUUCAGCAAUGAUGAAUUUUGAAGGAAAAAAAAAAUAGGAAAAGAAGGAGAAAGAGGAAUGAAGAAACAAUAGCCUGAGUCAAAUUUGUCAAAAUCCUAUCCAAAUUGAUGCAUUAAUUGUAACAUCCCAAAUCUAAUACAUGCAAAACAAAUAAUAAAAGAGGUUACUUACAAAUCAAGAUCUUUACACAAAAAUCUUAAAUUAAAAUAUCCUAAAUUUUAUUUAAAUAAAUCCACGAAUCCACAUGUCUAAUACUAAAUAUUUUCUGCCGCAGAAAUAGAUAUGACAAAAGUCUUAAAACUCUCCAAAUACAAGUUCAUAAAUAGACAAACUUAAGGAAAAUAGAAGUUCAUCCUCCUCUUAUUCAACUAACAAAAUUAAAUGAAUUUCUAGCUCCAAAGAUAAGCACAUUUCUCAAUAAGCUACUCAAUUGCAAAAAAGUAAUGAUAAGAGGUGAGCGGUCAACUCAGUAAGUAAAAUUAAUUCCAACGCACUAGGUUUAUUGUUGAGUAUUAGAAAAUGCAUAUUUAUAAAGGAGAAAACCGUUAUUUUACAUUUUAAGUCUUACUAACAACCCUUACUUUUAUAUAUUUAACCUUCUUGUGAUUUAAUUACAUGUGUUUUAUUUUAAUUAAGUAUUUUAUGUAUUUUAGGGGCAUUAUAGUCAUUUCACAAUAAAGGAGAGAUCAGACGGCAAAACGGACAUCACUUUUGAACUCAGGACGGUCGAAAACCUUAGGAGGAGCAUAAAAGAAAAAAUGGCACUAUUCACAUGUACGGUACUAUUCACGUAUACAGUACUGUCUACGUUACUGUUCACGACACUGUUCACAUAGACGGAUCGAUAACGUGGCAUUGACCGAUGAUGUGGCAUUGACUGAGGAGGUGUCACGAUCCUGUUGGACUAAAAUUCUAAUGUACUGUUGAUGGUGACGUGGCAGCAUAUCAGUGGACGAAAAAUCUCACGUACGGUGCAUGCAUCACACAGGAUUAUUUUCAACCAAACCGCGUUACCUGCUGUACGGCCAAGGCGGAUGUACGGUACAGCAGUGAGCCUUUUAAAUUAGUUCUUGUUGGUAAGUUUUCUUUUGGUCACCCUCUCAUGGAUGUUAUUCGAAAUUAUUUUGUUUCUUUACGGCUGAAAGAAAAUCCUCAGAUUUCCUUACUUGAUAAUAGACACAUUUUGAUUAAAUUAUAAAUAGAGGAAGACUAUUCUCAUAUAUGGGUUAGACAGGGUUGGUAUGUUAAUAGUCGAAGGAUACGGGUUUUUAAGUGGUCUACUGACUUCUAUUGCUCGGUAUAAUCUCCCAUUGUUCCUGUUUAGAUAUUUUUUCCUCAUUUACCUGUUUAUUUUGUUCACUGUAAGCCUGCACUAUUUUCAUUUGCUUCUGCUGUUGGUACUCCUUUAUGAAUGGAUCAUAUGAUACAGCCUCGAUUAAUAGGCCAUAUGUUGUCCAGGUAUUGGUAGAGUUUUACAUUUCGCAGCCUUUGUUGCCACGUAUUUGGAUUGGUAAGGGCAAUUCAGGUUUUGGUAGGAUGUUAUUUUUAAGCGGGUUUCAACUUAUUGUGAUUCAUUAAUCAUCUGUCAAAAUGCUUACAUGAAUCACAAUAAGCUGGAACCCACUUAAAAACAACAUUCUGCCAAGAACCUAAAUUGCCUACACCAAUCUAAAUACGCGGCAACAAAGAAUGCGAAAUUUCAUACUCUAUCAAUACCUUGGCAACAAAUGGCCUAUUAACUAAGGUCGUAGCACGAUCCACGCAUAAAAGAGUACCAAUAGUAGAAGCAAUUGAAAAUAGUGCAGGCUUACAGUGAACAAAAUAAACAGGUAAAUGAGGAAAAAAUAUCUAAACAGGAACAAUGGGAGAUUAUACCGAGCAAUAGAAGUCAGUAGACCACUUAAAAACCCGUAUCCUUCGACUAUUAACAUACCAACCCUGUCUAACCCAUAUAUGAGAAUAGUCUUCCUCUAUUUAUAAUUUAAUCAAAAUGUGUCUAUUAUCAAGUAAGGAAAUCUGAGGAUUUUCUUUCAGCCGUAAAGAAACAAAAUAAUUUCGAAUAACAUCCAUGAGAGGGUGACCAAAAGAAAACUUACCAACAAGAACUAAUUUAAAAGGCUCAGCCAUCUCUCAAAUUUCCGCAGUGGAGAAAUAGACAGCUGGUUCACCUUUGUGUAACUGAACUGGUUUCACAGGAAUUGAUAAAGCAGUAGAACCAGUUACGACAUCUACAAUAGACUUUUGUGGUCUUGAAGUGGCACUAAAGUUGAGGACAAUAACCGAGGUGAGAGCAGAAACAUAUGAAGGCUUGGGGUUGAUGUUGGUGCCACGGUUUAUGGAGGUUGGGUUGGUAGAAUGGGUUUAAGCAUCCAAACGAGUUAGGUCAUUACGAGUGGUUGGUGGUGAUUGUUGGGAUGUCAGUGUGGGUAAGGUUAUGUUGGGAAGAUUCGAGGGUGGCAAUAGCGGCCGUGUUACAACAUCGCUGAUGUCGAGAAUGGCGCCGACGGUGUGUUGGGUAUCCCGUGACCUAGGUUUGCCAUUUUGAUGUAAGUGCUGUUGGGUUAGAUGUUAUCAGUCAAGGGGUUGAACAUAGGUGAAAUCUAGUGGAUCAUUUGCUCCGGUGGCCGCUGAAGCCAUGGGUGUUUGGUAGUGGUCUUAGGACCUUACCAAAUUUCCCUUGUCAGUCAAAGGUGACCGGUAGUCAAGCUUGGUGGUCGGGAAGCUCAGGUUAGGCCUUUCAGGCCAUGCUGACUCUAAUGAUGGUGGUAGUAGGCUCCCACGCGCGGCGAAAGUAGUAAAUCAAGCUCCUAAAGCCGUUAAUAUCCAAUGGCAGAUUGCCGGCAAAAAUGGCCGGUUUGGUCCCUGGAGUUGGUCAGAAAAUGAAGGGAGAACUGUAGGGAUCAAACCCAAGUGGUGUUACUGACGGAAACCAGCGUAAUCACGCCAAAAUGAAAGGGCGGUUGUCACUAUUUCACAAGGUCGAUCAACAUCUUUUGGUUGUUUUACGACUGUGUUGACUAGCCUUGCUUGUUCUUAUUAUCAAACUUGGAUGUUUGAGGGAGUAAAGUUUAGUUAUCACUAGUCAAGCUUUGCUCAAAGGACAAAUUAUGAAAUUAACUAUCUUUAUCCAAGAUAAGUCUCAUAUAUGCAUUCGGGACAAAAAUAUUAGGAUAAUAAUUAGAAUCUUGCCAGUUUAUAAAAAGUAACAGCUGAAAUAUUUGAUUUGUUGACUUAUUGAAUUGUAAAUAGAAUCAUAAUACAAGACUUAGAGCUUUCAUUCCCUUUAGAGGUGGACAAUGGAUUUGCCUUGGGGUUGAUUUGACUAAACUUGAGAUGUGCAUUUUCCUCCAUUAUUUUCUCCUUAACCAUAAGUGAGUUUUCUUUUUAAUUAAUCCUUCUAUUUUGUUAAAAUCAAGCAAAAUAUUGUUUGUACAAAAAAAUUAUGGUUUGAGUAUAUUUAUUUACUUAAGAGAACACUUGCAUCCAAUCAUCGUAUCAAAUUAAUCAUUCUUAUUUAUUUGGUUGUGUGUUUGUUUGUGUUUGCGGGUUGAACAACUUAAUCCUGGAUGCUUAGUUGCAUAUUUCCCUCUACCUAAGCCUUUAGACAAUUGUCUUGCAAAUUUGAAUAAGCUCAAUUGAACAUAUAUACGUAUUUUUAGAAAUUUAUUUAUCUAUAGAACUUCUCAAGAGUGGACGUUAAAAUAUGAUUUACGGAUGAAACUAAAAUAAAAAUAUACAGAUUUUAGUAUACUUUUCUCUUUUAAUGUUUGGAGUCUGUAUUUUCUGUCUUAUAAUUGCAUGCGCACAAGAUUCAUAUUUUAUCAUCCGCAUUUGAGAAGCUCUGUAUUUAUUUGUUAUUUAUAUGUAAUGUGCAUGAUUAAGUGCAAGAUAUUUAUCUAUUUACAUUUUCAAGACGUUCCAAGAAAUACCCCAAUAUUUUGGCAAGAUUUGUAAAUUUAUAAAAUCUUUUAGAACUGAAUAAAUUGACUUUUCUUAUUUUUUAAAAGAUAUUAUUUUUUUGUUUUAUUUACAAAUCAUUAGUUGCUUUGAAUCUUAUAUUUAAACAAGAGUUCUGCUAUUUACCCCGGGUCAAACCCCGAAAGCUAAAACAAAACGACGCCAUUUCCUCUUCUUCAUGAAACGCUACCGUUUCACCCUAGCAAAAGCAAACGCUUCUCUCCUCUUUGUUUUCCUCUUCCUCUGCUCUUCGUUUCACCAGGGAACGACAUAACCCAAUCCUCUUCCACUCCUCUUCGUAUUGUUCGUUUUGUUUAAAAUCCAAAUUGGGGAAAUUUCCUCUUAAACAAAUCUUGUUUUGUAUAAAAAGGAUUUGAGGGCAAAUUAAGAUUUUCAACACAUCCACAGAAAGAGAGUGAGAGUGGUGAGUGAGUUAUCAAAAAUGGUGAGAGCCCCACCGUAUGAUGGAAGAGGAAUGAAGAAAGGUGCAUGGAGUAAAGAAGAAGAUGAUAAGUUAGGAGCUUAUAUUCUGAAAUAUGGCCACUGGAAUUGGGCUCAACUUCCCAAGUUUGCUGGUAUUAAUAGAUCACAUCAAGUUAUAAAAAUCGCAUUAAUUAAUAUAUGGGAUCUUUAUUUCUUGUUGUUGAUAAUUGUUGUUUAAUUAUCAAGGAGUGGCAAGAGUUGCAGGCUGCGAUGGAUGAACUACCUGAGGCCAGAUAUAAAACAUGGGAACUACACCAAGGAAGAAGAGGAUACUAUCAUCAAAACACGCCAACAACAUGGCAAUAAAAUAAUGAAAUAAAAACUAUUGGCAUACCCACUUGAAGAGGAAGAGAAAUAAGAAGAGAGAUUCAGCUGAUCAAGUGCACGAAGAAACCUAUCAAGCAAAAAGGCAAGAAAUUAAUCUAGCUGCAUCAACAUCUAGCUGCAUCACAGUUAUUGAAACGACUACGUUUUGUGGAAGCAAAAAGGCAAAAAAAAGAAACCAAAACGGCGUCAUUUUGGUUUAAUUCGGAGUUUGACCUGGGGAAAGUAGCAUUUUCCUUUAAACAAUCCCAAAGAAGAGGGGCAAUCCUCCAGCAAACGAAUACUUCUAAGUUUCUACUUUCUUUUAGUUGUUUCUUGUUUAAACUAAAAUGAAAAAUCAUACCUUUCUUAGGAGAGAAGAGUUGAAAAGGCUUUAGAUCCUUUAACGAAAAUAAUAAUAAUAAUAAUUUGCAAAAAACAAAACAAAACAAAAGACAGUGGCAGUAAAUAACCAGUGGUUUGUUAUGGCUGAAAUUUCUCACAAUAGUACUGGGAAAAAAACCAAAGUUCCCCUGUAUUUUGACAAUUUCCUUUUACAUCCUACUUCUUUACCCUGAAUUUAACAAGACUUUGUGUUUAUUUAUGUUUUUUUUAAAUUUAACAAGAUUUUGUUAAAUGUUAACUUUUUCGAUGUCAUUACAUUUUUUAAAAAAUAAUUUUUAUCCAUAAUGACCAUAUAGACAACUAUAAAAUCAUAUGGUGUUAAUAUGUUCUUUCAUUAUUUUUUCAAAUUAAUUGUAAUAGCAUAUGGUGUUAACAUAUUAUUAUUAUUAUUGUUGUUGUUGUUGUUGUUGUUGUUGUUAUUAAUUCAUAGUAACAUCAUAUGAUGUUAACAUGUAUUGCGUUGCCAUUUUGAAAAGUUUUUUCUAAUUAAAUAUCAGUAAUCCACACUUUUACUGUUAAUGUCACAAAAUUAUAUACAAAACCACAUUUACAUUUUAUAUGCUAAUUCUAAUAGAAAUUGCUUAGUAGCCUUCCCAAAAGCUUGAAUGACAAUAUGAAACAGCAACAUUAUUUUUAAAAAAAUUAUCAAUAAUGCUACACUUACUGAGUGUCCCAACUAAGUAAGCUUAGCAGUACUCAAAAAUAUUUAUUGUAAAUAUAAACUCUAUUUAAUUAAAUAGUAUUAUGUGUUAGAUUUCAUGAACAAUUGUUCAUUGGCUCAAUGUAAAGAUUCUUUGUUCAUCACAUAUUCACAUGAAUCUCUAAAGGCAAAAGAAAGAAACUAAAACCAACAUUUGAUUACCGAUCAAAGGAUAUUAAAAACAAAAAUAUUUAAUAUCAAUUAAAAGAAGAGCAUAUAUAUAUAGCCUUUUUCAUUUAAAAUGAUAAUUAUAUUUGUUAUUCAUUGGAUGCAUUCAAUCCAAAUAAUCAUAUGAAUUUAAAGUCGAAAUGUACUGGUGAAGAUGUUGUGGGGAGAACUUUCAAUAAUCACAUUGUCUCUAUUUGAAAAAAAGAAGAGAGAGAGGGAGAUUUACUACUAUAUAUAUUGAGUUUAAAAGAACUCAAAGCAAUUUACUUAUCAACUCGAACAAUUACGGGUCUAAAAUUAUUUUAAAAAUUGAUUAUUUGUGAAUCUACUACAAUACUAAACAUUCUCUGAAAGAGUAUAUAUUAGAGGCUACGACUACGUUGCACAUGCGGCAAAAAACCCCUUGCUUGCCUUCUUCUAAAGCAAUUGUUGGAUAAUAUUCAACGUCUAAGGAUUAUAAACGCAAUAUUUUUUGAGUUAUCGGUAAUGCUUAUUUGUUAUACCUUAUCUAAUAGAUAUAUGUGUUUAUUUAAUCUCAUAAACUCUUUUCAAAUUUUUUCUUGUUGUUUGGUUGUCUUUUCAGUAGAGUUUUUUAAGAUUAAAUAAGUUAUUUUGUCUGUAUUAAUAAAAACUUAAAUUUUAAGCUUUUAAGAAUAGAGGUUUAGAAUUUUUUUUAAAUAUUAAAAUGUCUAAAAUAUAUUUUCUUUAUUUCAUAAUUUUAUUUCACUUCUUUAUAACAUAACUUUAAACAACUUGUCUAUUAAAGUAAUUUCGUAUUUUUUAAUAAAAACUUUCAUUGACAACUAAACAACUAAUUUUUUUUAUAAAAGCCCUAUUUAUAAAAGUUCUACUAAUAAAAUCUCUACUUAAAUAAACUCUAUUUGAAAAGUUAUACCAAACGCAACCUAAGUCGAUAAUUAUAGGUUAUUAGCUAAUAAACAACUUGUAGACAUACAACAAUUUUUUGUUACCCAAUAAGUCGGCAGUUGUUAGGAUCAUAGCCAAAUUAAUUGUUUAGGAUAGAUCUUGAGUACUUUGUCAUAGUUUGGGUACACUUAGAUCACGUUGAUUGUGAAACAAAUAAAAAAAAACACCACAAAAGAGUCAUAUACAACAAAAAACCGAUAAGAACAAAAACAGUAAAGAGAAUAACACACAGAUUUAUGUGGUUCGGCUUUAUUAGGCUUAAAUCCACGAGACAAACACACUCUUCCUGAGUUUAUUAAUUGUCAAGGAUUUUACGGUGGAAAUACAUUGAUUUUUAGAGGUUACACUGAUUUUGUUCUCUUGUGAUGCAGCUGAUUUUUACUCAAAUCUAUCGUACUUUGGCUAUCACAAAACACACAAUAGUGCUCAAAUCUCACACCAUUUACUUAAUCAAUCCUUUUAACCAGAUUAACUCCUUCAUUACUUUUGCCAAAGUGACAUACUCAGUUCCGGUUGUGGAUGGAGCUAUCACAGAUUGCAGAAUAGACUUCAAGAUUCUAUCUUACUGUAUUACUCUUUACCCUGAACAUGUACCCUAUCAGUGAACUACUUUCAUCUGUUGGAGAAAGAUCAAUUUUUUAAAUUUUUAUAAAACCUUUUUAAGAUCGCUCUCAUAUAAUAUAUAAGAAUUUGUAAUCUAGAAAUCGUACCUUGAAAAUCCAAUUUGGCUUUUUCCGCUGGAGUGAUUUAGGCUUCUAGAUCACGAUCCGUCACCACCACUCCUGUUAGAUCACGAUCCAUCACCACCACGCUUGUUAGAUCACGAACUGUCACCAAUGAUCUUCCAGGUUAUGACUCAGGUUCGAUCUGCACUUGACGUGUGGGCGCCUUUAUCAUUACCAAAGCAACUAGCAUGAGAAAAUUUUUCUCUCGACAAUAGAGAGAAAAAUCUUUUUCUCUGAUCUGUAUAAAGUGACUGCUCUCUAUUUUUUUUAGAGAAAAAUAAGCCUUUUAUAUCUCCCUUUAGUGAAAACUCUAGGCUCCAAAUAAUUAAAAAACUAAACUCACGUUACUUGCUUUUUCUAUAGGGGACACACCUUGUAAAAUAACAUAAGACCCCUUACACACAAGCUAAUUAAAUGGAGCCUCCCACUAAAAGAUAUAUUUAAGCUUUUGACUCAAAUAACUAGUUAUCUUACUUAUUAGUCCAGUAGUGGUGCAGUCAAUUUAAUUCCAAAUCUACUCCACUAAAAGAUUGAAACAGACUUCCAUAAUUGUAUGCUCGAAUAAUAAUUCGUCCCAAGCCACAUUGAUUUCUUUACUGCACAAUCCUUUGUACCACAUCGUUAAUUAAAUUGAUAUCUCAACUGUCCAAUCAAUUUAAUAACAUCUUAUUCCUCUGCUGUACCGUACAUCCGCCUUGGCCGUACAGCAGCAUUCUUUUUCAUUUGUAAAUAUUUAAAAUUUUCUCUCUUUAAAAUCUAAAAAAUAUAAAUAAUCAAUAUGAAUAAAGAAACAAAAAAGAAAGAUUUUUUUUUAAUUAGUUGCGAAACCAAAAUGAAUUUAGUAAAAAUGAUAACCAUCUAAUAUUCAGAACUUGUAAAUGAAAAUAAGUAACGCUUAAUAGGUUGUGGCCACAGUAUUUUGUUUCCUUGAAGCUCCUAUGAUGCAUUUCAUGCACAAUGUGUGCGUCUUAUUCCUUCUCUUACCAAAAGCUUCAUGUUCCUUUUCCAUUUCUUCUGCUAUUUCAAAAGUGAAAAAAAAAAAAUUGAGAUCUGAGCUACUUAGGAAAGAACAAUUGGAUUUAAAAUUGAAAAAAAAUGAAAAAUCAUACUUGUGAGAGGGAGAGAAAAAUAAAUAAAUUGGGUUAAUUCUUUUUGCAUGUCUUUAAAGUAAUUGCAAUACCAAAGGGUUUUAUGAUAUUAAUAAAGGGAUGCCAACAAUUCAACACUAUAUGCAAUUCAAUCAAAAUCAAAUAUAAUUGAAGUCCACUUAAACGUACACUCAACCCAACAUAAAGUUCAAUACAAUUGGAGUCUAUUGAAGCUCAAUAUAACAAUAAAUCCCUACAACCAUUGAGGAGAUUUAAAUGCUCUACCUUAGAGUUGAAGAAAGGAGGUGUCGACCAACCAAACUAAAUAAUUAUUGGCUUAAACACAAGAUUUUUUUUUUUUUUAAAAAAAGCUUAUAAGAUAAACAACCCUAUAGGAGAAGUAAAAAAGAAGAUUUUAUUAUUCAAAAUUAUGAAAAUGAAUGAGAUUACCACAGUAAACUAAUUGCAAUACUACUCAAAAUAAAGCAAAUAACCUUUUAUUCCAAUUGGAUUAAAAUACUAAAAUGCAUUAUAGCUCAAACAUUAAAAAUAAAUUAAGAUAAAUACUAUUAAAAUAAAAAAAAAAACUGAAACAAAACAAAAUAAUUAUUCUAGACUUCUAAUACUUGUCUUUCUUUAAGAAAAGAGAACCUUAUUUGCCAAAUCAACAUGAUAAAUUCUACUCUUAUAAUAUAUGUAGGAGAAUCUAAUCCUCAAUCUCAAGAAAAAGGUGAUAUGCAUCAACCACUAUCGCAAAAAAGAAAAAUCUUUUAGUCUUCGAAUUCUUAACAUGUACCUUCAUUUUGGAACGAUGAAUACUAUAAAUAUCUUAGUUACAUUAAGUAGCUUCAACUGAGGAAAGCAAAAGGAGAAAAGAGCAUAGUUCUUUGGCAAAGAGAAAGGGGGAAAUAACAGAGAAUUAAGAUGCGUUCAAUACAGAGUUUUCUGUUCGUAAUACUAGGGUUGAUGGCAAUGUUGGGGACAGUGGCAUCACAUAAUUAUGCAGAUGCAUUGACUAAGAGCAUCUUGUUCUUCGAAGGCCAGAGGUCUGGAAAAUUGCCCCAAGACCAAAGGAUGACAUGGAGGAAGGAUUCUGCUCUAAAUGAUGGCGCUGACAUCGGUGUGAGUCUUCCUCUCUUCUUUCUAUUGAUUGUUGCUUCAUUUACUAGCUUGCAUUUUUGUUCCAUAUUUCAUUUUCCUUCUAAUUUUAUAACUUAUUAUAAUUCCUUGGUUACAAACGUUAGCUAAAUUACAUGAUUUCUUAGAGCUUUGAUGAUACUUUUUGAUGCUUUUAGUACCAACAUUGAUGUUAACAUAUGAUACUGUAUAUUGCUUGUUUAUCUAUGAUAUAUUUGAUAGAAAUAAUCAACACAUUGAUUGAAAAUAAUUCUUUGAAUUAAAUUGUAUAAGUUUGGUCGACACAUGAAUUAACUUUUCAGUAUAAUGCUAGACACUAAGGUUGUGUUUACUUGCUGGAGUGGGAGUGAGGAGUGUGGAUUCCUCCCACUCCAGCAUUUACUUCUUUAAAAUGGCCACGGAUUGGGAAUCCCACUCCGUGGGCCCCACUCAUUUUUGGAGUGGGGAGUGGGAGUGGGACUCCCAUUGGGGGAGGUGGGAGUGGGAAUCCAUUCUAGUGUAAGUAAACAACCUACUCCUACUACCACUUCACACUCCUAAUCCAAGGAUUCCCACUCCUCAGGAUUCCCACUCCUCAGGAUUCCCACUCCAAUCCAAAAAGUAAACGCAGCAUAAGUGCUGUUGUGAGAUUUAACUUUAUGGAAUUGCUCCAAGAAGCUAGAUUGUGAUACUUUUAUUUUUUGUUUUGUAUUAUGUGCAUGUAUUUUUAACAAUUUUUUCGAGGUCUUUUAUUAUAAAUUUUAUUUUUGUACAUGUUUUAAAGGUAAGGUUCAUUACAUCCCUUAGUAAAUGAUAAUCAAUGAACAGAAAAGAAAAUACAAAUUAUAAUUUUUUUUAAAAAAAAAAACUCUGAUUUGUUAUUUGUAAAGGUUUUUCUGAAAACUUCUAAAACUUACGCUCGAAUUAUUCCCUUAGUUUUAAAAUGAUAGUACCAAUUACCAAAUAUGCGAAGAUUAGUAAGAACAAUAAUCAGAGAGUAUCAUUAAAUUGAAGAGUCGUUGGUAACCUUUAUCAUCUUCAAUCAUUCAAAAAAUGUGAACAAGGCCCCCCAAAUAACACCCGUAUUUAAAUUAAUUUUUUCCCUCUCCCUUAGGUUGAUUUGACCGGAGGAUACUACGACGCCGGCGACAAUGUUAAAUUUACUUUUCCCAUGGCAUUCACAGCAACCGUGUUGGCUUGGAGCGUGCUAGAGUUUGGGGAUUCAAUGGGCCCAGACCAGCAUCAUGCGUUAAAUGCUAUUCGAUGGGCAACUGAUUUCUUAAUGAAAGCCACUAAUAAACCUGACACUGUUUAUUUUCAAGUUGGCCAUGGUCAAGAAGACCACAAUUGCUGGCAGAGACCUGAAGACAUGGACACACCCAGAACUGUUUUUGCUGCUACUAUAGAAAAACCAAGUUCUGAUGUUUCUGCUGAGAUAGCAGCUGCUCUUGCAGCCACUUCUAUUGUGUUUAAAUAUUCUGAUCAAGCAUAUUCUGCCACACUUCUCAGUAGGGCCAAAAAGGUAGGUAAAAUCAAUUUUAUACCCAAGUAUCUGGGAGGUGUACGUGUAUUGAAGUCAUUAAACGAGGGGUAUAUUGAAGUGUAUCAAAAUAUUUUAGUGGUUGGUGAAAAUCUUCUCAGCAUAAUAAUUUACAUAAUAUGGAAGAAUUAUAAUUUUAUAAGGUAAAAUGACACAUUCUCCCAUAAAUAUUAUUUUUAUCAUUUUAACACUGAGAAUGUAAUCGGAUAGGAAUUUUCUAAGUCAGUAUUUUAAAGUGUGGGAAAAUUCGAAAAAACUUUAAAACCAUGUAGUUUUAAAGUGUUAAUUUCAUAAUGUUUUAAAAUCGUGAGGUUUUAAAAUUUUUCCGAAUUUUCUGCACUUUCAAAUCACGGAUCAGAUCCCGAAUCAGAAAAUUACUACGUAACCGGAUACUACAAAUUUAUCAGGGAUCUAAGUGCUCAAAAUUAAGAAAUUUUAUAAGAGAUAAAGUGUCCUUCUCCCUUCUUAUAAUUAAUUAGUACAUAUAUUGUCAUUAUAAUUUUUGCUUGAAAUAGGUGUUUGAAUUUGGCCAUAAGCAUCGGGGAAGAUACAGUGAAAAUUAUGCGAAACCCCCAGGGGCGGUGUGUCCUUUUUACUGUAGCGGUGGAAUCGCAGAGGUAAGCUCUGGAAAGUUUAGUGCAAUUGCUUUCAUUUUGCCUUUAACAUAAAUGCCAGAAAGAUUGUUGUAUUUAAGGUCACAAAAAUUUCAAGUGAUAUUGUCUCAUAUGUAUAGUGUACAUAGGAUGACUUGGCAUGGGGAGCGAUGUGGCUAUUCAAGGCAACCAAUUAUGAUCAUUAUUACUGGAAUUCUGCUGUAAACUCAAGUAAAAUUCUGAACCAUAAUCUGCAUGAAUUUGGAUGGGAAGGCAAGAAUGCUGGCAUUAAUGUACUUGUCUCCACUGUAAGUAUUUUAUAACUUUCAUAUUAUCACGACAGAACCCAUUUUACCCAAUCUAAGUUUUUGUUCUUGUGUGUCGGCAGAUUGUUAAUAAGGAUGGUGCUACCAACAAAUCAGAUACCGAUCCUUUCAUUCAGAAUGCGGAUAAGUUUGUAUGCGCACUAAUGCCUGAAUCACCUACAAAGGUAGUCUACUACACACCAGGUAUUUUAACUUGUGAUCAUUUUAUUAAUUGAUCCAUUGGAACAGAAUAGUAGAAUUAUUUUAUGAUUUGAUUUUGGAUCAAAACAUUAUCAGGUGGGCUUCUCAAAUUACAGGGCGUAAAUUUUAAGCAUGCUUCUUUAACCUUUCUCCUGGUUGUUUACUCUCGAUUUUUAAAAGAAGCUAACAAAGAAAUACAUUGCGGUCAUGUUGUUGUUAAAAGGAACAGGCUGAUAGAGAUUGCCAAAGGCUAUGUAAGUCAUGAAUGUUUCUUGUGGGAACAAUUUUUUUUUUUUUAAUAGAGAAAAUGAUGAAAAUCCCUUAUUGUUUGUCGAAACAUAUAAUUUCUCCCUUCAUUUUUUAAAACUCAUCAAACCUCCUGCUGUUAAAAAAAUUAUUAACUUUUUUUGUUGUGUCUUUUCCUGUUUUACUGCUACAAAUUUGAAUUGAUUAACGAAGGAUUUUACCACGUUAAUGGUAAAAUAGUAAAAGACACAAAAAGGGAAAGUUUGCCAUUUUUUUUUUCAACAGCAAUGAAAUGGGUUUUUUUAAAACAUGAGGGGUGAAAUGAUUAAUCAUUUUUCCUCUUUUAAAUUUUUGCCAGUGAAUUUGUUUGAUUGUUUAACAGCUUGUAUUUGGAAAUUGAUAUGAAGGUGGAUUACAUGCUGGGAAACAACCCAAUGAAUAUGUCAUACAUGGUUGGAUAUGGCAAGAAAUUUCCUCAUAAAAUACAUCAUCGCGGUGCAUCUCUUCCUUCCAUGGAUAAACAUCCAGCGAAGAUCCCUUGUGCAAACAAUCACUUUUUUCACCACUCGGAUCUCAACGAGUUAACUGGGGCAAUUGUUGGAGGACCUUUUGAUAAUGACUCUUAUGUUGAUGAUCGAAAUACAGUUGAACGAUCAGAGCCCACAACUUACAUGAAUGCUCCUUUUGUUGGCCUUUUGGCUUAUUUCAAUAGACCACCACCAGCUUACAUCUAGAGGAUAUACUACGAUGGAAAUGUUACUUAAUACAAUAAGAAUGUAAGAGUUACAAUAUCAUAUUUAAUGUCUGCGAUUCCUCUUUUGAUAGUAAGUCAUCUUUGCUGCCUUUCCAGUUCAUUUUAGAAAUUUUGGAUAGUUCUUAUCUCUAUGACUAUGAUGAGCAUGACGGCCUCGGACAUUACGGUUUUCUCCUUUAUAAAUAUGCAUUUUCUAACACUCAACACCUCCAAGCAACCCAAGCUUGAGGGUUUCACUAUCCAAGCCUUCCAAGGCUUCAAAAACUUAUAAUUGACUUCCAAGGUGUCAAUGAACCUUUAUAACAAAGAGAUUAUCUCCCAAUCUCUUCACUCAAGUGCCUCACACACUUAAACACUCACAAAUUUGAUGAGAAAUUGAAAAUUACAAUAAAAACUCUCUCAAAGAGUAGAUAUACAAAUUGAAGAAUAAAGAUGAUUCAAUAAAUGAUGAUUUACAAAAUUGAAGCUCAAUAUAUGUUGUGUACACUUGUUUAUACUUACAAAGAUUACCAAAAAUGAAUUAGAUUUGAAUUUAUAUAGUUUGAGCUCAAAAACUAACCAUUAUGCACAUUUUGAUCAUAACCGACUUACUAUUUAUGGAAUCCGGUUAGCCGCUUGUAUGUUACCGUUAAGGCAAAAAUUUGAAUUUUAAAACAUCCGGCAUGUCGCUUAAUAAAUCCGGAUAGCCGCUUUCCAUCCGGAGAGUUUCUGCUCAAUAUCCGGCUAGCCGCUUGUCAUAUCCGGUUAGCUACUUGCUAUAGUAACUGUUACAGUGAACUAUUUUUUAAAAUUAUAAUUUGACCCCAAAGCUUUCCAUAACUGUAAUAUAGCCCAAACGUUAUAAAUUUUGCAAAUAUGUCCAAUUACAUAAUCUCUAAAUAAUGCUUGCUAUUCCCAAAAUUUUUUGAAAUUAUGAUAUAGCCAAAAUGCUAUGAAACUUUUCAAAUAAGUCCUCCAAAAUUUCAAGCAAUAUUUGUUGAUUUCAAAGUUUUCAACACCCUUUCAAAUAAACCAUAAACUUGAAAAACAACUAAUUUCAUAAAAUCAUUUUUCCAUUACAUAUAAAACCUUUAUAAUGUGAAAAUAAUGAUUUAUUUAAAAAGUAUAAAAAAUAAUUUGAGUUUAAAUGAUUAAUCAUUUUUAAUCUUGUUUGUUAUCAUCAAAAUCAACAUUAUGGAAACAUAUAUGUUAACAAGAAGUUCAACUAACAAUGACAAUUCUCAAACAUUUCCAUUUGAAAUGAGCAUAGUCAGAGAUUUCAUACUUCCCGGAAACUUUUCCGGCUUCAAGCAACCAUAGAGCGUUAGAUUUCUUAAACAUUUUAAUCUACUCUGCUGUACGGCCAAGGCGGAUGUACGGUACAGCAGAAAUAAUAAUAGUCUUGUCUAGAUACCGCCUUGGUUACACCGGCUUUCUAGUAUAAGGUUAUUAUUAUUUGGCACGAUAAGCCCUUAGCACCAUAUUGAUUUGAGCGUGGUUCAUGAGGUGUGGAUUCCCCCCUCAUGAUUUAAUUGGCAUUAAUACGGAUUAUUUAGCCCAUGAUGCAUGUUGAUACGGAUCCAGAUACCCAAGUACGUCAUUUCAAUAGAAUUCUCUUCAAUUCAUUCUCGCCAUUUCAAUUCCAGUUUUAGAAUUUAUUCUCGCCAUUUUAAUUUAAGUUUUAGCAUAUACCAAAUCAUUUCCACCAUAAAUCCAACAACCCAUUUACAAAAUUAAUUCUACACAAUUAAAAUCCACCUCCUCGUGGGAUCGACACUCGUCACCAUAGAUCUAUACUACAAUAGAUUCGUGCGCUUGCGAGUACAUUAAAAUUUGCACAACAUUUAUCAGGUACCAAAAAUAUUGUAAGCCUUUUUUUUAAUCAAAACGUAUGUUAUAAAUUAUAAAUUUCAUAAAAUGACAUAUUACAACAAGAUGACAUAAAUUCAUAAUAAUUCAGAAUAUCAAAAGCAUAAUUAAUCACGUGAGCAAAUCGUAUAGCAGAUAUACAGAAAACAAAAAGGUUAGCUCAUAUCACAUAGUAUCACAUAUACUCCCGGUAACCCAGCCAAAAUAGAAUCAGAAUUAGAAUAUCGUGUACACAUUCAGAACAGAAACUCAGUACUAGUCCACAACAUAUAUAUCGUAUAAUACGAUCAGAAUUAAAAUCAAAAUAACUACGUGCAAUGAGUGAAAAUAUUUAAAUUCAUUUUUCAUAUGUAAUGAUUUGCACGUGACACUUUAUAAUAUAUGUGACACUUUGCGGCACUCUGGCCUUCGAGAGGUGGCUCCCAAAUAAUCAUAAAUAAUCUCUAUCAUAUACGUGAUCAAAACAUUCUUUUCAAACUCAUAAAAAAUCAUAACAAUGAAUUAGGCUUGCAAAACAAAUUCCAUUAUGAUAUUUUAGAGAUAAUUUCAUAAAAGAUAAUUAUCUAACAAAAUAAAUUACAUACUUAAAAUAUAUUUAUAAUAUUAUGUUAAAACAAAAAAAAAACAUAAUUUUCAUAUUUGAAAGCAUUUACAUAAACUAAUCUUGUUAUGAAAAUCAAUUGAUUUUUUAAAGAAAUUUUUAAAAGAACUAUAAAAACACACGUACUUAUAAUAGUAUCAAAAUGAUUGUACACAUCCAGUAUAUUAGGAAUGAAGUUAUUUACUUCAAUAAAAGUAAUGGUCUAAACACAUCUCAAAGCCUCUAAUAGCCUCAAAUAUCUCCAACACCUUAAACAAAUAUAAGAUAUAACUAUUAACAACUCAUUUUGAGAACUUAGUUUUCUAAUUUAUACCCUUACAAGUCUAAUUCUUAGAAUUUUAACUUUUAAUCUAGAAAUCAUAAUAACACAAUAUUUUACGAACCAUUCUAGAAAUCCAUGGAUAUCUUUCAUAAAUUGUUUAAGAGGACUUGACACCAAAAACACUUUCAAGACUAUUUGUUUCUGGAUAAAUUCAAAAACUGUCUCACAAUGCCUUGAUUGAACAAUAUGGAUUCUGAGAUUUUUAUAAAAUUAUACAUUAAUCCAAAAAUUAUGAAAUUAAAAUUGGAAAUACUAGACACAUAUAUUAACCUCUAUCUAAAGUUUCAGAAUUUUUCAAGUUCAUUUGAAGGUACAAAUAAUUUUGUAAAUCUGGUCAUUCUGUUAAAACCGUUGUUUUUCAAUGCAAUAGAGUUAGUUCAAAAAUAUAUAUAUAAUAUUGAAAAUAAAGUCAAAUCUUAUGAAUUCAAUAAACCAUGUAUAUCUAGUUUACAAAAAAGAUAAGGUUCUUCUAAAAACUAAUUCAUAAAAUAUAUGUUCUAUUUCAGGAUAUUCAUACUAGAAUUGUUCGGUGUGUUACUGCAUUAGUCAACUAAUAUGAUACAAUAAUAUAUUAGUGCACUAAACACAACUUAAAUACGCCCUAAAUUGUCUAUGACAAUCCAAAAUCAUGCUAAUAAAAUCCUAAAUAAAGCACAACGAUAAGGAAUUAAGUAAGACAUAGAGAGAGUAAAACUUACCAACAAUGAUGACUCUCUCUCUCCUAAGUAAAAAUUUGAAUUCUAGGAUAUGAGUAAAAGAGUAUUGAGCAACAAAGAGAAUCAUAGAAAACGCUAUGGAUUUAGGGUUAUGAGAGAAGGAAAAGUAUAAAUUUAUAGGGAAUUUUAAGAAACCCUAUUAACCUUAGAAAAUGUAAAUCUUUUAAAAAAUUACCCCAUGAAUCUUAAUUAUGGAUUAAUAAUCCUCAUUACUAAAGAAAGAAAAUCUCGACACAUAAAGGUCCUUCUCCUUUCAUAAUCCCCUUUUUUUCCCUAAAAACAAAGAUUUGGGUAUUACAACAACAAUAGCGUUAUAGAAAUUAAGAUGAUGGAAGGUGUGCGGUUUUCGAUUUUGGGUUUGGGCGUCAUGGGAAUGGGUUCGAAAGAGUGGUGUCUGCUGUCCCUCUAAUCUAUGUGAUUUGUUUUUAUUACGCACUUUUGUUUUUCAAUUUGGUACGAUCUAAUUGAUUUCAACAACUGGAUUAAAACUAAACAAAUGGAGAUUAAAUUUAAAGGCCAGUAGGAAAGAGAAGAAGUAUGGGUGGGAUGUGGAUGUGGCUAGCUCUGGUUCAACUCAGAUGAUUUUAUUUUAUUUUAAGCGAGACGACUACCGUGACGAGGGUGUGCGUCUGCAAAUUCUAAGUAUCUUUUCUGCAUCUUAUUUUACCACCUCUAGUUUUACCUAGAUGUUUCGGCCAACCGAUGAUUCCGAAGGGCUUUUUCAUUGUUAAGCCUUGUCAUAGCGCCGCCGAGAGCUUGGUCACUGUUCUUAUUCUUCGGCAGUCAAGAGCCUCAUGGCUGUAAUUUCACAUUUGGGAUUACUUAAUUGUAGAUUAUGAAUAAUAUUUAAUCUUCAAUUAACCCUACUAUUAGUAAUAUAUUGACAUUACUUUAUUUUGUUUAUUAUUUUGAUUUGGGGAAUAAAUAAAGAAUUUGAAGAUUUCUGAGUUGUAUGAUGAAGGUGGUUUGGUGAAACUCUGGUAGCAUUUUUAUUUUGUUCUUUGAUUUUCUUUUUCUCUUUAAAAUAUAUAUAUAUUUUUUUUUUUUUUAAUACCUUUACAAAAUGAAAAAAGAAUAAUAAUGAUAAUGAUAAUAAAUAUGAAAAAAGGUAAAAUAUUAUUCUUUUUUCAUUUGUUACUUUUAAUUCAUUUCUAUUUUUAAAAUAAUUUUUUUAAAUAAAAAGAUAAAAUUUAAUCCAUUCAAAAAGAUUUUGUCAUAUAGGCACAAAAUAAAAAUAUUUUAAAGUACUAGGGAGCGUGUGAAAAUUUAAAAUAUUUAUGUGUUUUGAAAAACUUUUUAGACAUGGUUAUGGUUUUCUCGGGUAAUUUUUAAAAACCUCCCCUGAGAUUUGGGCUUGUUGCAAGUAGAUUGUGAGAAUUCGUUUAUUUGUAAAAAACCCCCUACGUUUUUGCUACGUUUGGUUGCCGUUUGGGUAGUUGUGGACAUUGUUUACAUUUCGCAAUAAAACAAAUCUUUUGCAACUUUCGUUGCCUUGAGAACAGUAGCUAGUCAUUUCAGUUACUGAUGUUCUGACACAAAUAAAAACCAAACUUGCAAAAAGAAGUUUGGUUUUGUUUCAAACAAUGCAUCUCUUUACUAUCAUUUUUUUUAAUAAUCUUAAAAACUAAAAACAAAAAACGAAAGCAAAAACAAAUAUGACCACUACCAUCAUCGUAUAAAACCCUGGAUACAAAGUCGAUUUAUGAUCAUCACAGAGGAUUACCGAAUUGAUGAGCAGCAACUUAUAGUGGCAACGAGCAGCAACUUAUAGUGGCAACGAGCAGCAGCUUACAGUGGCAACGGGCAGCAGCUCCUGCAGCGGUGGUUUCGAUUUGAGAAUGCACCAGCGGCAGUUUCGAUCGCAAGCAGUACAAGCAGGUUCAGUGGAAAGACCGUGACUGCGAUGGAUGUAGCUGAUUUGUAUGAUAAUGCUCAUCUCAUCUGUCGUUGAAGAUCAUUUCAGAGCUUAGUUCAAGUCCAUUUGUUUAUUGUGAAACAUUCCCAGAAGCUACUUUACUUCUUGUCUCUGCAAAGGACCGCAUUGAAGCACAAACCACAAGCACGAACCACUAGUCCACGAUGUAUCGCAGUGAGUUUCGCCGGCGACCCACAAGCACGAACAUCUAUGUCGAAGCAAAUCAGAGGUGAGUUGUUUGAAAACACACUCUUAUCUACUUUUUAUUUGUAGAUAACUCAAAAAGAUAUUGUGAUUUAUAUACAUGGCUUAGGUAAAAUCAGAAUUGAAAUUAGAAAAUUUUGGCUCUGUAAUGGCAGUAAAACAAGGAAAAAUUUGUUUAAUCUAUAUAUAACAUUUGCUGCAUAUGGUCGUGGACUUACAAUGGUUAAGCCUUAGAGUUUACAGCUUAUAGGAGAAUUGGUUUUUGGUUUAAUAUUAGUGGAAGACUGAACAGUCUGCACUUAACUGAUCAUAACUUACUGUAGAUAGCUCCAAAUUUAGAUUAGUAAAAUUGGUUGGAAAGCUAACAGAAAUAUCUUUCCAAUGAUGUAUGGUUCGAAAAUUAAUUCAAUUUCAUGCAGUACAGUUUAAUUCCCAAAGAUGCCCCUUCUGCACAGAAAUUCUGCUCACUUGAUUAAUGUAAGAACUUAAACUAUGAUAUUGUAAAUCUUUGGAAUUGACAGGGAUAAAAUUGUCAAAAAAUAAGGUUUGUGCUUUUCGCGCCAAUAAUUUCAGCUUUUUUUUAGUUAUGUCAGUCUACAAACUGUUGUUAAGGGCAAUAUUGUCUUUGCACAGUCAACUAAUGGUCAAUGUAAAAAUUAACUGAAGGUAGGGAGUUUUUUACAAAUAAACAGAUUCUCGCCAUCUAUUUACAACAAGCCCAAACCUCAGGGGAGGUUUUUAAAAAUUACCCUGGUUUUCUCUCCUUUUAGUAGCAUAGAUUUCUCUCUCUAGUCUCUAUUUUCAUAUUUUUCUCCUGUACCUUCUUCUUCUUGUUCUUUCUUUCUUUUUCUUUUUUAUUCUCUCAUUCUAUUUCCACAUUUUCUUCCUUUUUUUUUUAUAGAAAUUCUAUAAUACAUUUGAUAUGUUCCAUGUCGUCACAUAACGUGGAACCACCACUAACUAAUUAUUUUUUAACAUGUGUCAAUAAUUUUUUAAACCUGAAAAUUAAUUUAUUAAAAGUUAAACAGUUUUCUCCAAUUCUCUCUCUUUCCUCUGGUUUGAAAAUUUUAUCUUCCCCCUUCCAAAUUUUAAGAACAUAAAAUCCAAGAAACAUUAAUUUAUUAGAAAAUAUAAAAAUAAUUAAUUAAAUCAAGUGCCUUGCAAGUCUUUGGUAAUCCUGAAUUGAUGCCCCUUCUUCUUCCCAUUCAUAACUCCAUUCCCUCUAAAAAUGAAUCUUUGAUAAUCUCCUUUGAUACUGAUUCUGCUUCCCAUUCACAACUCCAUUCUCCCAGAAAAACAUUUUUUGCAUCAAAUCGAAAGGUUGGGGAGAGAAUAAGCCAAUGCUGGGUAUAAAAGGAAAAAAUCUUUGUCUGUAAAUAACUGGAAAUUUAGUAAUACAGUGAACCCAUCGUAAAGUUUGCAUGCAUCAAGUCCAAUUUUAUUUGAGUACAUAUAAAUACUGUCAUUGAAAUGAUUGCAGUGAUGGCAAGCUGAUAAAUAAGCGAAUUCACAUUGUUGGGUUUGUAAUAAAGAAUGUUUUUAACAUCAAAAAUAUAUUUUUGAAUAAAGUGUCUUGCUUUGUUGCUUGUUUUUUGUAGGGGAACCAAGUUGUUAAUGGGAAGCAAAAUGAGCAUUAAAUUAGGAUUACUUUUAGAUUUGCAAAGUGAAUUAAGACGAGGGAUUGUCAUACUUCAAAUAUUUGUAGAAUGAAUAAAGACCCUUCACCAAAUUUUUCUUUUGCCCACCACCUGUUUGUUUGAUGUACUAUGAAACAAGUUAAAAUAUUAGUAUUGAAUACUUGUUUCUAUAAUUGUUUGAUUCAUUGUUUCUUGAUGGACAAAUAUGUGUCACGAUUAUAUAAAUUACUUACAAAUUCAGAAAUUAAUGCAAAUAAAAUCUUUAUGUAUGUUUUAUCGGUUGGUAAAUAUGUCCCCAUGAAUGGAACUCUGUAUGCAGCGAAGCCAUUUGAAAGAGAAUUAUUUAUAACCAACUUCGGUGAAAAAAAAAAAACCAGAUAUUCAAAAUUUUAAAAGACCAUAAAAUAGUUUUUCAUUGCUGCUCAAAAUUAAUCCUCACGUAUCAAAAUAUUCUUUUUUUUUUUUUUGCAUUAAAUAACAAAAUGGAGGCACUAGUAUUAAAGAUAAACUAAAAACUCAUAAGCUCCUUAGUGAUAUACAAUUUAACCAACAAUAUUUUUCGAAUAAAUUUGAGAAGCUAGAAAAAGAAAAAGUAUCUAACAGUAAACACAAUUAUCAAAUGAACAAAGAUUCGUCUACCAAUAUCAACAUUAUAAAUUUAACCACCCUAAUAUGUAAAAUUGCAUAUUCCAUAUUCAAUAAAUGCCUUGGCAACCUACACAUGCAAAAAGGGGAAAAAAAAAAUCAAUGCAAUGUUUAAAAAAUAAAAAUAUUAACUAGUAAAUAUAAACAACGGUAAGAUGCUAAUUGGAGAACACACCCCACAUACCAUUCACAGGAUAAUGGAGUAUCAAUGGAAAGAAUAAGGGGCAAGCGAGAUUACCAAAGAUUUGCAAAGACAAUUUAUUCAAUUAAUUAUUUCUAAAACUUAUAAUAAAUUAAUGUUUCUUGGUUUUUUGUUCUUGAAAUUUGAAAGAGAGAAGAUAAUUUUUCAAACCAGAAGAAAGAGAUAGAAUGGGAUAGAAUUGUUUGAUUUUUAAUAAACUAAUUUUUAGAUUGCAAAGUUAUUGACACAUGUCGAAAAAUAAUUAGUUAAUCAUUCCAUAUUAUCUGAUGAUAUAGAACAUCAUAUAGUUAGUAAACUAAUUAUGUCGAAAAAUAAUUAGUUAAUAAACUAAUUAUGCUCACACUUACAUCCAUGACAUGCCAAAAUCUUCUGGAAAAGUUUCAAAAUUUAGUACAUAUGCAAAACACAUAAUUCAAUAAACAAACAAUUAAUAAAUUUUUAUUAUGUCUUUUUGUAUUUAUACACAAAUGAGUGUUCAAAGAGUGCAAGUAUAUAGCUUCAACCUUUUGAUUUUGUCCAACACUCUAUUGUUCCUUACAUAUAUAAAAGCAUACCUUAAUUGAUAUUUGAAUGUUAUGCUACUAUUUGUUAUUAAUGUGAAUAAAACAAAUAAGUAAUGACAGAACAUUUAAAAAAAAAAGAAAAGAAAAAGAAAAGACAUUUAUCCAACACUUUCAUAAAUGUUUUCUUUCACUCAAUAUCUAUAAAAGAUUGUGGAAAAACAUAUUCAUGAGUUUGUUUUAAUCAUCUGCCUGUUCUUGUAGGACAAUAAUUAAACUAAUUAUUUGUAAUUAAUUUCCUUCUUUAUGCCUUCAUAGACGAGUAAAAAUGAGAAUAAGGAUUAUUAUAUACAUAUAGGGAAAGUCAUUAUAAUAAUUAAGAAAUGCACCUAAAAAGAGCACGGGUAGUAGUAGCAAAAUAGAAUGUAUAGAACAAUAUUAAAUAAAUAAUAAGUUUUUCGUUAAUUUUGUUGAAAACUAUUUAUUUCACGAAACUCCUCCAAAUUCUAGGAAGUGCCCUAACUUUUGUUCUUUAUGAAAAGUAUGAGAAGUUUAUGCUCUUUAAUCUUAAUCCAUGUUGAAUUUGUUUGAAAUUAUUUGUUAGGAGUCAAAGUAUUGGUCACGUUUUUAUUAGCUCAAGAAUGAUACCCUCAUAUGGUGAGGAUAUUAUGAAUAAAUUAUGAAUUUAUCUAUGGAUGUGUAAUAUAAAUUGUGCAAUAUCCAAAUUCAAGUUGGAUAUUUACUAUGCCUAAAUUGACGGUCUAAUUUCCUCUCUCAUACAACAAAAUAACUUAUAUUAUUAACCACAUACACCUACUUUGGAUUAAAUUGCCCUUAAAACAAAUUAACCAAAAAUUUCAAGAGUUAUCGGGCCGAUGGACUAUAUGGGCGAUGAAGAACAUUGCCCAAGGCAGAUUCAUUUGGGCAAUGGUCAUUGGCACACCAUUGCCCAAGCAAGAUUCAUAAUUCAUUUUUUUUUCUGUUUUUUUGCUAAUUUUAACAUUACACAGUCUAGGGGCGUUGACAGAUCGGAUUUUGCGAAUUGGACAUUAAUCCAUAUCCAAUUCAUGAUUUUGCAGAUUGUAAAUUUUUAAUCAAAUCCAAUCAAUGGAUUGACGAAUUCAAUCUCAAUCCAAUUCAUAUGUUUGCGGUUCGGAUGCGAAUUUGACCUAAUCCACAUCCAAUCCACUAUUUUACAAAUUAGUUUGCGGAUUAAAAUUUUUUAAUUAUGUUCAUUCUAUGAACGCAUUAAAUAAAAAAAUCUUAUAUAAAAAUAAUUUUAUUACUGAUCAAAUUCAAAAUUGAAUAAGAUUUAAAUAAAUUAAAUGUUUAAAUAAAGAUAGAAUAAUACAUUUAAAGUCUCAAAAUAUAACACAGUGAAAAAAAAAUCUCAUUUGUUUAAAUCAAUACAUGAAAUUAACUGUUAAAAAAGCUAUAUUUGUUUAUUUAAUUAUUCAAUUAUUUAAUUUUUUUAUUAUAUAUUAUUAUCGGAUAAGAUAUAUAUAGUGUUAAUGUAACUAUAUUUUUACUUAUUUAUUUAUUAGUAAGUAAUAACCCCCCAUUUACAAGUUUUAUUUUUUAAUUAAAUAAAUAUAUAUUUUUUAUUUCUUUUGCGGAUUCACAGAUUUUUACGGAUUUACAGAAUUAAAUCCAUAUCCAAUCCACCGACUGGGGAUUUUUAAAUUUUCAAUUUAAUUCAAUCCACCAAUCCACAUAUUGAAUUUUUAUGGAUCAGACGGAUUGAGUGGAUUGGAUUAGAUUCUGAACACUCCUAACACAAUUGGAAAAAAAUAUGAGAAUAAAUAAUAAAUUAUUCUUUAUAAUAAAUUUUUUUAAAAAUUAUUCUGUAAAAGAAAUUGACAACCUUGGGAUGGAACGUUGGUGAUGGAAGCAUUGGCCACAAUGACAUUGGUACAGGCGAAGAAAGCCAUCGCCCAAAUUGACAUGGGAGAUGGCUCGUAGGCAUACUAAUUUCAGUUAAGUUCUUGCAAAUAAGUGCUUUUGGUAUCAAAAACUAUAUAAUUAGAGGCAUCCUCAUCAAACUUAACAAUAUAUUUGAAAUUAUUUUUUAAGAGGUAUUUUAACAAACAUUUAAUGUGCCAUAUUUUACAAAACCUAAUCUUACAAAAUUAGAAAUUUUUAUGCCCAAUACAUAUAAUAAUUCCUUAUCUAUCAUGUAUAAUCCAUCAAACGAAUAAUUUAAAUAGCAAUUAAAGAACAAAUCCGAUCGAAACCAUGAAAUAAAUUGUGCACGAGCAAAACAAUUUCUCCAAGUGAAGCCAAGCAAAACCAAAUCUUUAAAUUUGAUCAAAACUAUAAUGGAAGCCACCACUGUUAAAGGAACUGGCGAUGUGGGCGAUGCAAAACCGUGACAGUAGAUGGGGGCAAUGUGGGUGUAGCUGGUGCUUGUAGAUUUGGUUUUGGUUGGUUUAUUUAAGGGUAGUUUGGUCUAAAGCGAAUAUAUAUGUGAUUAGCAAUUUAAGAAAUUUUGUUGUAUAAUUUGUUUUCACAAUGAAAAUUUUAAAAUGAUCACAUGGAUAAGUUUCCCAUAUAUCAUAGGGGUUAGGUUAUCUACAUUAAUCGUGUGUGGAUUUGGACAAGACCCAAAACAGGGUAGACCCGACCCGUCGAAUUUGCACGACGAACCAUUAUAGUUGUCGGGUGCACUUGAACAUCACAACCCGGCCCGCCCCGUGUGGCCCAACAACGCAGCACAGCACAAACAACUCAAGCCAAUCACACGGACACUAAUGCCCUCCAGUCCCCCCGGGCCCCACCAGUCUCUCUUCUCCAAUUUGAAAAAGCGCGAAAAAUCAAAACAUUCGUUUCUUCUAGGGUUUUAGCUCUCUGAAGCUCACAAAUCUCCUCCAAUCCAAUGGCCAGUACUAAAACCGUUGAUUCCUCUCUCUGGUGGAACCCCUUCGUCGAGCUACUCACCGAGCUCGAAACCGCUUCUCUCUCAUCCGACCUUUCUCCCAAACUUGUAAGCACUUCACACCCUCACGCACGCUCUCUCUCUCUCUCUAUACGCAUGUAAUGUAAGUAUAGGUGUGUGUACAUGUAUAUUUUGAAUGAAUUUUCUGUGUUUUUAAAUUUUUUUAGGCAAAGAAGUUAGAGGAAAAUCGCGCGUGGUUUGUCGAAACGGUGUCGCGCUUCAAGCCACCGAAUGAGAAAUCGAAGGAGGCGUUGAAUUCGCAGAUAGUGAAACUCGGUGAUCAUCAUCAGUUGUCUAUAAAGCCUGAAUUGAAAGAGCAGGCUUUGAAAAUUAGCCCCUAUUUAGUGAGUUUCUCAGUACUUUUAGUUGCUAACUUGUAUUUUGAACGGCAGCUUCAAUUUUAGUUAUACGCUAUAAUGUAUUGUUUCUUGUGAAUUUUAAGGAUUACAUGCGGCAUUACUGAUUAAUUGACUUUAAUUGCUUUUUUUUUUUUUAAAUUCUGGCAUUACUGAUUAAUUGACUUUAAUUGCUUUUUUUUUUUUUAAAUUCUGUUUGUAAAGAUUAGGAAUGGAAUUUUAAUAAAAACUGCAUUUUGUUGUUAGAUUCUUGUUUAAAGAUUUUUUAAGGUUUAUGCAAAUUGGGUGAUUUAUUUUUCACAAAAGUGCCCCUUUAUGAAAAUCCAUUAACUAGGGUAACCUAAUUCAGCACAUUGUCAAAAGGAAUGGUUGGAUGUUAUUUAUUUUGUAAUGCAAGAUAAGCAUAUCUAGAUUUAUUUGAUCAUUUAUUGUGGUAACUUGUCCUUUGUUCAGUGUUUAGAUGAGGUGCAAUCAUACAUUCUUGUUGAAAGGACUCAGAAGCAGCGCAAUGUGGCUUUUGAUUCUAUUGUUCAAGAGCCCAUUCAUGUGGUUAGUCACUUUCUUCUUAUGCUGUUCUUUUGUUUUGCAUGUGGUUUUAGUUUUUUUUUUUGUUUUGUUUCUUAUUCUAUAAUUUAGACGAUUCAUCAAUUAUUUGGAUUGUUGACUGGGAUUGAUGCUUUAGGCUUUUGAUUCUGUUGUUCAAGAAUCCAUUCAUCAACUUCUUUUUCCUAUUGCAGGGUGUAGGCCUGCUUUAUUUUAGUUGGAUUAUUGACUGGGAUUGAUGCUUUAGUGAGAUGUUUCAUCAAUUACUUGGAUUUGAUGAAGCAUGUAGCUCUGGUUGUUUGACCCUUUUCAUCGAUCCUUUCCUGUGAUUUUGCAGGUAUUGCUUCAGUAUUACAUAGAGCGACAGUGCUUGUUGAAGUGUACAAGACGGAUUCUCAUGCAUGCUUGUAAAUUCCUAUUGAAAAUGUCUUAAUUCUCAAUUUCCCUGUUCUUUCAUCUUAUGGAACGGUUGGUCAUUCAGUUUGACCUGGACACUUCCAUGGCUUAGACUCAGUUUAGUUUUUCAACUAUUUCGUAAUGUAGUGCAGCAGAUUGUUUUUUUUCCUUGCUGCUAAUCCAACUAAUGUUCGUGCAGUAUAUGUUGAUCCUAGCUUGAAAGAAGGGAAUGCUGUUGGGAAGGAGGCAUUAAAGCUGAUCUCGGAUGGACUGGAAGCCAAAUUGUUUUCUGUUCUGCAGGCCCUUCUAUCUGCUACUCAUCCUGUAGAGAUGGUAUGCCUGAGUUCAUGUUUUCUACUACCUAACCUAUAUCAUUUUAUAGAACAGGGAAGCGAAAUGCAUCAAUUGAGUGCCCAAGCACAAUCAAGACUUCACCAUUUCAAACCUAUCCGCUGAGUAAUGAUCCUAUCAUUGCAACAUGUUUGAUGAUGUAAAGUUGCUAUGAGUCACUGGAAAUUUUUGACAGUUGUAAGAUGUUGAGUAGAGCAUGGUUCAAUGUAAUUAAUGUGCAAACAUGUUUAUUGCAUAUUCACACAAGUAAGUUUGGUUAGUCAAUAAUCAUGUAUAUGUCACAUAAACACUUUUCCUGUAAGCCCUUAUGCUUCUUUAAUCUCCUUUGACUUUUUCAUUUUCUUCUGUAGUAUAAUGGCAUUACCAUGAAAUCUUUGUGGCUUAUUUUUCCCAUCAGCUAAUGUAUCUAAGCACCUUCAGAUUUGAUUUAGAUUUUUUACUGUUUUACAGGAUACUGAUCUUUUCACUUUGUGGGCCGAAGAAACGCUUAUUGAAGACAGUUUGGUUUUGGACAUUCUUUUCCUUCUUUAUUAUGAUUCCUUUUGCACUUGUAAUGGUGAGAAAUGGAAGAAGCUGUAUUCUCUUUAUAAGGUAUAAUGUUAUUCUUCUCAUUUAUGAGGUAUGCAAUUGUCCUGUUUAACUUUUCUAAUCUUAAUCCUUGUUUGGAAUUUGGAAACACUCAUGAUGCAGGGAAUUUCAUCUGGAUCUUAUAAUUUUGGAAAGCUGGCAAUUUCAACUGAGGCACUAAAGUCAUCUUGUGAUGCCAAAAUACAGCUGCUGCUUACACUUAUAGAAACUCUGGACCUUGAAAAUCUUCUUCAAAUGAUUCAUGACGAAACACCUUCCAGGUUUUUUUGCUUGUUAUUAAUUCCAUUUUACCUAUAUUUGAUUUGUCGAGGACAUUUCAAUCAACCUCUCUCUCAUCUCUUCUUUGCUUAGAUUGUUUCAUUACUAUAAUUUUUUCUUUCCUUUUCUGGUUCUGCUGGGGAGCAGCUGUCAUAUCUGUGAUAUUGUCUUUUACAUCAAUUGUUUUAUUUUAUAUAAUUUCUUUUCCCCUUUUUUUGUCUUUUCUUCAUCUGGCUUACUCAAUUGUUCAACCAUAAUUGUUUUCCAUUUCUCAGUCAGGAUGCUUUUGUCUUUUCUUUAAAUGAUGUUCAAGAGAUGGACGCAUUAUUAUCAACUUUGGAUGUUUUUGAAAUGAAAGAAGCAGGUCUGCUAAUCCUUGCCUGGGCAGUGUUUCUUUGCCUAAUUUCAUCACUCCCAGGAAAAGAAGAAAAUAAUGUGCUAUCAGUAUGUUUUCAUUGUUUCCUUUUUCUUCCCCUUCUCUCCCUCUCCCUGAUUAUGUUUGAUGUUGUCAAUCUUGACCUCAUUUUUCUUUGAAUCAUUUUAGGAAAUUGAUCAUGUUGGCUAUGUUCGUCAAGCCUUUGAAGCUGCAUCAUUGAAUUGUUUUUUCGAUAUCCUUCAAAGUGAUUUAUUAAAGGAAACUGAUGUAAGUUGUUCUCAGUUUAGAGUUAUUGUUGCUUCAGGGUGACUCUGCGUAUUUUCUAGUGUUUUACUUGAUUUGUACUUUUCAUAGUGAAGCAUUUAGUUUUUUGUCUGGGAUGAAGGUACGCUUCAUUUUAAAAUUUCUGUUUAUUGUUUCAGGGAACAGCUGCUGGUUAUCGAAGUGUAUUGAGGACUUUUAUUUCUGCAUUUAUUGCAUCUUACGAGAUCAAUUAUCAGGUAGUUGAACAUCUGCUUUUGCUUCUAAGGUAAAAUUCUGGUUCUUUUUUAUGGAUGAUGCCCUUUCCUUUUUGCAGUUAGAGGAUGGUACCCUGAAUUUGAUACUGGAUAUUCUCUGCAACAUUUAUCGUGGAGAGGUUUGGAUGUAUAGUAAUUAGCAGUUUGCCCCUCAGGGUUACUCAUUGAUUUUCUUUUUAAUUAUAUUUCAUUGCUCAUUGUUUACUAACUGGAGAUCCUCUUGCUCAACCAUCCUGUAGGAGUCACUUUGUAUUCAGUUUUGGGAUAGAGAAAGUUUUGUUGAUGGUCCUAUUCGAUGUUUUCUUAGCAACUUAGGAGGUGAAUUCCCCUUCAGGACAUUGGAACUUGUUCGCUUUCUGUCAGCUCUCUGUGAAGGCAGAUGGCCUGCAGAAUGUGUGUAAGUGGAAUUUUAUUUUUUGUUUUGUUUUAAUUUACGGUAUUAUGGUUGAUUACCUUACAUUCUGUGACUUGAAAACUAUAAUUAUUUUUAAGGUAAAACACCUGGUUUCUGUUGCAUGGGAUAUUUUGCAUAAGUCCAGAUCAUCUCAGCUUGCUUAACUUGUACAGUGUUUUUUUAUUAAAAAAAAAAAUUUAGAAUGUGACCCUGUUUAUGUUUAUCUGGAACUUAAGCUUUAGCUACUUUUACUCAUGAACCUUUCUCUAUUAUGCAAGAAUAAAAAAAGUGUUAUCAUAUUAGAUUGCAGUGAUUAAUCUGACACUCCAAGUAAAACCAAAGAUUCUAAUGCCAAGAUUCUUCAGCUAGACUGUUGAUACACGUGUAAAUUUAUAGUUUGCUUAUUGUUUGAAUAAAUUAUAAUAUGAGCUUAGGCUUUUUAGUGUUAUUGAAUCACUUUGUGAUGAUCUGUUGAAAUCUUUUCAUAUUGGUGAACUUUUUGGAAAUUUAUGGAAUGUGCUUUUAAAUUUUUAUUUCCGGAUACUAUUUUGAAUAUAAAUUGCUAAUUGAGUUGCUAUAUAAUAUGUAAUAAAUCUUCCUGUCAACAGGUAUAAUUUUUUAGAUAAAUCUGUUGGUAUAUCUACCUUAUUUGAGAUUACUAGUGAAUCCUUGGUAGAUAGCACUAGCACCUCUCAGAUUGUUGAAACUCGCCAGCCAUUGCACGUUCCUGGGGUCGAAGGUUUGCUUAUUCCUAGUAAAACUCGAGGGCAGGUUUUGAAAGUAUUUGGUGGCAAUACUGCUCUUGUUCGUUGGGAGGUAAAUGAUCUAAGUUUCUGGAUGGUUCCCAAGUGUUUGCUACUUGUCUCAUGUUAAAGACUUUUGGAGAUUUCUAAGAACAUUUUUCUUUAUCUUUUUUCAUUGUUGAUUUGUGAAUGCAUUGAUGAUGAUGUAAAGGAUAUUUUCUGAUGUCAGUCCUGCAGUAAGUUUGUUUUCUUUCUUCCUUCAUCUGUAGCGUAUGCAAUUAUAGAUUUCUUACUAUCUGGGUGUAAGUUUGAAAUUGCACUUAUUAGCAAUAUCCAUGUGGGUACUUCUGGUCUUUGUGCUUCGAGGUUGGACUAUGUUCACAUGCAUGAAGCAACAUAUUUUAGAAAUUUCAUCUGUUUCAUCAAAUCACAUGCUGUCAUGUGGCAUCCCAUUAAUGUUUGCCAAUAAUCUGUGGGUUCACUAAUUACAUGAUGAAAAAAAUAUUUUCCCCUUCUCUCUUGCUCUCCUGUUUUGCUUUGUUUGGUUGCAUUCUGUAUGUGAUGCUAUGAACACUGCCUUUGCAUGGUACAUCAAGAAGUUCCUAAUAUUGGGUGGUUUUCACGUAUGUUCUUUAGUUGUCUUCUGCUUCCUUUUUGUACUCAUGUGGACCUCUGGGCCUCCUUCAUAAGGCCAGGAGCAAAGUUCAAUAUCUUUGGGUUCUGAGUGCAAUUUCAGUUGCUUGUUCAUUUUGUUACUGACACAUGCUCCUUUUUUGUAGUAUAAUCAAUCUGCAGUGGUCGUAUUGCUCCUGCGUUUGGCCCAGGAGCAAUAUCCAGAAAGCAGUGCAGAAGCUCUUCUUAUUCUGGAUUUGUUUAGUCGAAUGGUGUCCUUUAACUCGGUAAUUCUUUUUGGUAGUUGUAAUUGUUUUUCAUUGACAUGUAUUCUUGGAAACAUUCUAAUUUAGGUUAGAUGUAGUGGUAAAGUUAUUAUUCAUUUUUGUUAAGAGUAUUAUGUUUUAUACUAGAUUUUAUCUUUUUAAGAAUAAUUGUGAUUUGGCUACUGGCUUGUGAUAUAUAUACAAAUAAGGUGAGGGUUGAAAUAUAUAACUCCACCUACAUUAGCUAUAUAUACUCACCUCUCUUCCCCCCUUUCUCAUUCUUCACCCUAAUAUUGUCAAUAGAUGGUAAAAUUCAACCAUUAUGAUGACAUAUAGUGGAGGUCAGUUGUCGGUUGAUGGUAGUAGCCUCGAAGGUGUUUUUAGUAAAGAUGCUAAUUGAAUGCUUUGAGAUGUUUGUUAAACCAUGAAAGUACUGUGCUAUAGCCUUAGUUAAGUAAUUGCCCAUGCUAAAAGACAGUAAUUUUUGUUAAAGCCAUCUUUUUUUUUUAUUGUCUAUGCCAUUUAGCCUUUGAUUUUACGUAAUAUUACUCCUAACGCUAACUUGAAGACCCAUUUCUUCUAACCAUAGUUCCUGUCAACGUACUAUGUGCAGGCCAUACGUUUUGCAUUGAUGGACAUAGGCAACUCAUUGCAUGCUCAAGGAGCUGCAUUAAAUGGGCCGAUGGAGAAGAAUAUGUGGUAAUCAAUUAAUUUAUAUUACCUUUUCUGCAUAUUUCCCUUCGUGAUUUUGAUUAGCUGUGUUCUUGUAGUUUGAAAAAUAGUUGCUUCAUCAUUUUUAACCUGCAGGAUGGUUGAGAUCAUUUGCACCUUGAUUAGGGAUCUGUCUCCUGGUUCUGGUAGUGCUGCAAUAAUGUCCAGGGGUGUCAAUAUUCUAGCAAAGAUGUUAAAAUGGUAAAAUUCCAUGCUUGUGUUUUGUGCUUCUGUGUCACUGAAAUGCAUGUCUGCUCUGUUGCUUGAUAUGUCUUUACAUUAAUGUACUUGCAAUGGUGGUUUACUGUAUUUAAUAUUUUUGGAAUUGCUUAAUUUUGUUAUCUUUUUUUUUUUUGAGAAGGCUUAAUUUUGUUAUUUUUGGAAUUGCUUAAUUUUGUUAUCUUUUUGGAAUUGCUUAAUUUUGUUAUCUUUUUUUUUUUUGAGAAGGCUUAAUUUUGUUAUCUACUCAUCUUUAACUGUUCAUUUUUAUCUUUGGGGCAGUUCCCCUUCUUUGGUUGCAGCAGCAGCUUUAAAGGCAAGCAUAUUUGAUUCAGCUUCAAGGGAAAGUGUAUUUGAUAACGGCAGUAAUGGUUCAUCAAGGUGAAUCUCUUGCAUCAAACGUUCAAAUUUUUGUGUUUCGUGUGUGAGAAAAUGGAUGAGAAUCUGUUUAAUGGUUGAUUUGGAAUUUACAUUGAUUGUUUCUUCCUGACUUAUUUUGUGGGUUGUCAGAUUAAUUUUCUGUUAACAUCUCAAUAACUUGUGUGAAUCUUUUGCCACAUUGUUAUAAUAUACUUUUCUCUUCAUUUAUACCAAUUUCAUGGUUGACACUUAACUGGAUCUUUUAAAGUAAUUUUUUAUGUAAUAACAUCAGAUGGUUGUAUCAUUAAUGACUUUGCAAGCUAUUAAGCGAAAUUGAAGCUGUACAGUUUGUUCUGAAAAGUCUUAUUGCCAUUCUAUUGUAUUUGUUACAUGCAUUUCUUGUAUUAUAUUUGACAGUCUUGCGUUAUGAGGAUUCCUGCAGUCAAUUCCAUGUAGCUGACAAUUAUUAUAGUUCAAAUACCAUUAUUGGGCUCUUAUUUACAAGUUAAGCUCUUAAGCGGUGAUUAUCAUGGCAUCAGAGCCAAUUUGACUUAGCAGUCUUCUUUUCCAAAUUCCCCUAUUAUAUUAAUCAAAUUAUAAAGGUUCUCUUCUUUGUUUGUUUAUGUGUUUGAUCCAUGCGUCCUGUACAUUAGAGGAUGUAUUAGAACUUCAAUAAUCUUUUUGGGUUCAGUUAAAGUGGUAACUUAACAGGUGUAAUGCAUGUUGAGAUGAUUCAAGCUGCUCCAUUUUGGACCAUAUUCUCUAUAAAGGAGAGAAGGAAAUGGAGAGUUUCCUUUGUUUUGUGAGAGCAGUUAUGCUAUUAUGGAUGAAGUUCUCUUGUUAUCUCUUGUGUGUUGUGCAAAAAUGACUGGGAGAACAUUGAGUGCCUUUAUCUUCACCGCUGUAUAAUUUUGAAAUUGUGAUACCAUCUAAAGAUAGCAAAUCUGAUAUAGGUUGUUAUGGAAUAUUGUGUAUUCCUAUUCAUAGUGGAUUUUUGUGCCGAUGAUGAAGGCUAAAAGCUAAGGCUUUUUUGGAGAUAAUCAGAGUUGUUAAUCUUUUGGAUGAUUUGAAUGGAAAUGAGCAAAAUAAUCUUUGAGAAUUCUAUAUAAAGGAUAAUGGUUUUCUGUGAGACAAAGUUCAUCUUUAUUCGUGUCUGUUUCUAAAUAGUUUUAGGAUUCUUCUUCAUUUAGGUUGGAUGCUUUUUUAUACAAUACCAGGCUGGAUGAUAAAGAUUGUCCCGUAGAGACAUUUCUGUAGCAUGAACAUAUUGUGAAUUUUCUGGUGGACCACAGAGGCUCAUCUCACUAUUCUGGAUCAUUUUUUUUUUUUAAAGUAAAAGUUAAACUGUUUCCUAUUAAGAAAACCACAAAAAAAAAAAGAGGGAAAUUUUGAUUCUCAUUUUUGGCUUCUGUUCUGUUCUGUUCAUGGUAGUUUUUUUAAUUAUAUCUUUUAAAAGGUAUAUGGUGGACAAAACCCAAAUCAACAUUUUAACCCCUACCUCCCUUGGGAUUCGCACUUGGGUGGCCAGCUAAAUAAAGCUACUUGAAAACCACUGAGAUAGGCCCCUAGGGCCAUUCUUUUUGUGGUAAUUGGUACUAUCUUGUAUACACAAAUGGCCUGUUUUUCUAAUUGAGAUGGUUUUGUUGUUUGAGUCAGAUUCUUGCUUUUUAAAUUCCUUAUGUCACCUUGUGCUUUCCAGUGGGUGGUUGCUUUCUGGAAAACUGGCAAAGAUGCUUUUGAUUGAUUGUGAGCAGAAUGACUGUGGUUGCCCUUUGACUAUAUCAGGUACUUAUCUUCAACCAGCACAAUCUUUUAUGUUUUAUAGAUCGCAAUGAGGAUGUUGAUGAAUUUCAGAAGAAAGAGAAACUUUUAAUUAAAUCUCAACUGUUGGACAAAUCCAAUGGUUGAGAUUGAAGGUCCUGACAAAAAUUUCUAUUAAGACGUCCUGAUAGUAAUACCAAUAUAUAUUUAAGACGUCCUGAUAGUAAUACCAAUCUAUUAAGACGUCCUGAUAGUAAUACCAAUAUAUAUAUAUAUAUAUGCAUGUAUGUAUGUAUGUAUGUAUAUUAUAUGGUAUUUUCUAUUUUGACCUCAUUUUGUCAUUAUCAUUCUUUUAAUUGAAGCAUUUAUAGACAUUAGGUUUAUUUAUGCUUUUUGUAUUCUCGUGAGUUUGCUUGUCCAUCUGACUUGAUCACGCAUUGGCGCUUGUAUUGUGAAUUCUGUAUUCUGAUAUGAAAAUUAUGCUUUGCAGUGCUGGACUUUACUAUGCAGCUUCUGGAGACAGGAGUAGAGAAUGAUUUAGUCCUUUCUUUAGUUGUUUUCUCCCUCCAGUAUAUUCUAGUAAACCAUGAGUACUGGAAAUACAAGGUGAAGCAUGUUCGUUGGAAAGUAACAUUAAAGGUAUGUUAUUGUUUUAGUCAGCUGUUACAUUACCAGGACACUUUGAUUUGGAAGAUAGGCAGUACUUUCCCUGUAGGGUAGGUUUCUAAUAGAUUUAAUGAAACUUCAGGAACUGUCCAUGAUGAAGUUUGUAGGAGGUUUAUGUCUAUUUUAGAAGCUUUAGGGAAGGUAUUUUCCUGUUUCUGGAAGCAGGAAAGUUUAUUUUCAUAUAAUUAAGCCAAAACCUUAAGAGUUUGAUGGGAAAUGUUUUAGAAUUAUGGUAACAAGAGGUUUAACUAAUGAGGUAUUUUGUGUAUUGUUGAAAUUCUCAAGCUGCUUAAUGCUAGUGCCACUGCCGGGUUCAACUGUCAUUUACUUCCCACUUCACUUUAAUGCAAAUAUGUUGAAGGUUUGAGUAAUUAGAUUGAUCACUCUAGAGCCAUGAUCUGGAUUGGGAAUGACACUUUUACUAGGCCAGAUAAUAACCAAAGACUUAACUAAGCUACAUCAUAUUGACAAAUUUCAGACAGGGAGGACGACAGAACUUCAUUUCGUAAACAUCCGUAAAUAAUUUUGAAAGAGCAGAAAAAUUGAACUUCUCUAAGGACGUUACAAAAUAAUUUAAAUGCUUGAAAAAGAAAUAGGUGUUUACCUAUCAGCCUUAGCUUGCUUGCAUCGGAAUCUCCCAAUAUAUUAAUUAAAUCAUAAAAUGUUAUGUUUUGUUAAUUGUUGAAAGAUAAUAUUGUUAUUUGGUUAACACUUCUGGAUGGGAUGAAAUGAUCAGUUCAAAAGUUCAAAUCUUUGUUUCUUUUGUUGAUGAUUUUUGUUCAAUGUUAACUUAACAAUGAUAUUGAUAUUCAGUUAAUACCUCUGGUCAUAAUGAAAUCCUGAGUUUAAAAGUCCUAAGUCUUUGUUCUUUUGAUUGAUGAUAUUUGAAUAUAUUGUCCAUUGGUUUCUAGUUUAGAUUUGUCCACCAUUGUAACAUGUGAAUAGAAUGAGUUGUAAAUUGCAUGAUGGUGCAGGUGAAAGCAUAGUAAAAAUUAAUUGACUUUUUUAGAAGUUAAAAAAGUUUCAGUGAACAAGCACAUGUAAUGGAAAAAUCUUUUGUUUGUUUUAAUCUCAUCUUAACAUAUUCUAUGUUAAUUAAGUAAAUUAAUAAUUACAGGUUCAGCUAUGCAUUUUGAUUAACAUCCCUACCAUACUGACAAAAUGCAAACAUGCCUCCUGUAUUUAUCAUUAUAUUUUAUUGAUGUUUUUGCGUCUGUCAAAGUUGAGGACCCUUUGGGUAUCAGUCAGAAUUAAAUUCAAGGAUAUUACACCUCUCCUCUUCUUCUUCUUCCAUUUUUUUUCCUUUUUUUUGUGGUUUUUUGGUUGUUGGGGGGGGGUGGCGGCGGUGGUUAGUGGUCGGUGGUUAAUAGAUAUUUGGAAGAUGUUAGAUGAGUGUUGCCCUUUUUGGUUUUUCUUGCUGUAUUGAUUUUCUUUUUGUGGACUACUUGGUCUACCCUCUUGUAUGUCUCUUUCUUAUGAAUAAUUUGUUGUUUCUUAUAAAAAUAACAAUAUUUUUUACCCUAUAUCUCUGCUUAAUUGUCCUUUUUGCAUUUUUUUUUAUGUUUAAGGAUCUAUAAUUAUCUUGCAUGGCAUUUUUUUCAUAAUUGCUUGUCAAAAGCUUGGCUUUUGUUUGAAAUUCCAGCAUAUUGUCUUCCUUCUGACCUCAUAUUCUGCUUUAUCUCUUCUAAUCUUCUGAUUCUGCUCAAAUGAAUGCUGGAAUAUUUUGGUUGGAAAUAAAUGCUGCAAAGGUGAAUUUUUUUCUCAUGUUUAUUGUUUUAGGUGCUUCAAGUGAUCAAAACAUGCAUAUUUUCAACCUUGGCCCCCAGGAAGUUGGGUGAGGUCAUUCGGGGUAUGCUACUCUGUGAUUCUUCCAUCCACAAUACCCUCUUUCGAAUUAUUUGUACGACUAAAGAAGCCUUGGAGGUCAGUUGUCAGCACUUACUGACAUUUAUUCUCCAUCUAUGAGUCAGUGCUGCUUUUCUUACUAACAGGAUCACAAUGCUAACAGAAACUUUAUGUCAUCCGCACUUUUGAACUGACGGAGAUUGAAGGACUGGAACUUGCAAUAGGUUCUGCUUUGGAUAUUUUGUAUACCAUGCUUUCAAAAUUUUCAAAGGUAAGCUUCGAAUUUUCCUAGGAUUGUAAUACUAGGGGCUUGCUACAUAGUAAAUGAUGAAGUAACACAUCAUGUUAUUGGUACGCUGGUAAAUAGAUGUACUAUUGUGUCGUUGUUAUCUGCCUGUCUUUCAAGUUCUUAUUACUGUAUCUUAUGUUACAAGUUUGAGUAAUCCUUGCGCAAGCUAUCAAACGGCAUCUGUAUCUCUUAAGUUCAAUUAUUUUUGUUUCUUUCCUCCAAGUUCAUAUCACUUUGAUAGGACUUAGGGAUAAAUUAGGGUUAAUUUUUAUUGAUUGAAUAAAAAGAAAGAACAAUCCUGACCUACAAUUCGAGAGGUAGGUCAAUCUCUUCCAAAACACCUAAUUAUUCCUAAUACUAGAUAAAACUCAGCCCUAAAUGACUCCUUAAUCUCUUAUUUAUACCUGAGCUCUAAUUAGUGAAUAAGAAAAAUUACUAAACUACCCCUGCCCCUUUAUAUUUGCGCCUAAUAUAAGUUUUCAUUGGUCUAACAUUACUCCCCUCCCAAAAAGACAUCUUGUCUUCAAGGUGAAAUUCAGGAAACUGCUGCCUCUUCUUCAUCGGCUUCCUCCUCGCCUUCCUCCUCAUCAUACACAGUCAAGACUUGUAGUGAUUUGUCCUUACAUUGAUGCCCCGGUAAAAAUUUCUCAUCACAUAAAAAACACAACCCCUUCGCCCUCUUGUUUUGAAUCUCCAUCUCUGUGAGGUGUUUGAAAGUCACCCCUGGUCGUGCCCCACUAAUCCGAUCCCUUUGGGAAUCUCUCUACAACCUCAUCAUUUGCAUUUUCUGGCCUCGUGGUGGUGAACUCUCGCUGAAACCCCAAGGUCUAAGUUUUUUGUCCUACCAAUGGUGUGCUGUUUUGGACUUAAAAACCGACUAAAUUGCUCCUAUUAAUUUGUUUUGUUGUGUUCUUAUCCUCAAUCAUCUGUGCCAACUCCAUUGUCUCCCUUAACCCUCUCGGCCUUAGCAAACAUAGCGAACUUGGAUUUCUGGCUUUAGUCCCUUUAUAAAAUUCCCUUCCAAUACCGUCUCUGCGAUUCCCCCUAGACGCCCCGAUAGCAACUUAAACUUCUCCCUAUACUCCAUGACUAUUCCAUCUUGAGUGGCCCAAAACUUCUCCAACAGCUGGUCUUUGAAUUCACCCCACGGCCUUAAUGGUUAUCAUUGUUCUCGUCAUUGAAACCACGCAAGGGCCUUUCCAUCCAAACAUAAUGCCGCCAUCAUCAGUUUUUCCCUUUCUGAGAGUCCAUUGAUGGCAAAAUUGCACUCUACCCUAUACACCCAUCGAUGGCCAUCCUCGCCUUCGAAAAUGGUCAUUUUCAAUUUCCUUACCCUAGAAUCCGCCUCAAGUUAAGUCUAUCCCGCUCAGUUUCGCGCCAUUGGAGGUCUCCAACCUCGUUAAUCUACUCCAGUUUCUGCAAAUCCCGAAGACCCAACCCGAAAUUCUCCUUGCCUUGGGCUGAAAUCUCUUGCCUAGCCACAUUUCGGUCAUAACCGCUCCCCUCUCUCACUAGAAACCCCUCCUCUCGGCCAUCCGCCUUCAAAUCUGACCUAUCCAGACCCAAAAUCGCCCUGCCCGGGACCCAAUCCAGCCUGCCCUGGCCCAAAGCCUGCCUAGACCCGAAAUGGCCUUGGCCAGGCCGUGCAUCACCCCUAAACACCGCUGAGUCGCCAAGCUCGACCAUCCCCAACUCCCGCGUGCCCCAUUCCAGUGUCAAAACGCCGAUGCUUGACCUUAAGUUGCCUCCUCCGGCUACGUAACCCUCAGAUCCACCACCCCCAGCCAUGACUCAGCUUCCUCUGUCGGGCCUGAUGCCGAGAAAGGCUUCCCCAGGCCGCGAGUCCCCUGGGCUGACCUCCUUGCCACCAAAUCCAUCGUGACCUAUCGCCCCUUGUCGUGCGAGACUAGUGGUUUUUGGCCCUCCGCCCUUUGCGCCGCCGCCGACCACAGUUUCUGUACCACCGGAUCCUUCUCCUGCCAUGCCCGGUGGUGGUUUAAGGUGGAGUUCCGUCAAUUUCAGCAACAUGGCUUCAAGGGAUGAAAAUUGUUGUUGAACGAUGUUAAAUCGCUUGUCAAUGGUGGCCUUUAGCGAUCCAACCUCUGCUUCCAAUUUCUAUUCAAGCGAGUCCACCUUCUUUGCUGCCAUUGUCCCAAGAUUUUUGCUCUAAUACCACUUUGAUAGGACUUAGGGCUAAAUUAGGGUUGAUUUUUAUUGAUUGACUAAAAAGAAAGAACAAUACUGACCUGCAAUUCGAGAGGUAGGUCAAUCUCUCCCAAAACUCCUAAUUACUCCUAAUACUAGACAAAAUUCAGCAUAAACCCUAAAUGACUCCUUAAUCUAUUAUUUAUACUUGAGCCCUAAUUAGUGAAUAAGCAAAAUUACUAAACUGCUCCUGCCCCUUUAUAUUUGUGCCUAACAUAAGUUUUCAUUGGUCUAACACACUUCUUAUUGCUUUCGAAUAUUUAUCCACUGAUUCUAUGCAUAUAUGGGAUAUUCUGUCUAGUUCUACCCUAAUUAUAUCUAUGCAAUUUAUAACUCUCAAUUUUGCUUACAGGAAAUAUCUUCCAUCCCUUCUGUCUUUUACCAAGCUGUGCUGUCACCUACAACAACACCAGUUCCUGUUUUUGCAGCUGUUACGUCUUUGAUAUCAUAUUUUCGCAAUCCUGUAUGCAUUUUUCUUAUCCAUACGCAUUUUUUGUUUGAUUCUUCCUAUGCUUAAAGUUGUGAAUAUUGGAUAAUUGUAUGAUCAUUGUGGAAGAUAAUGGCGUAGUUGUUUACAAUUUUAGGGCCUAAGGAUUGGUUGGCACUUCUAUGCGAGAAUGCCUGUUGAAUUUCCUCCAUGUUUGUAAAUGGUAAUUGUCUGUCAGGUGUCUGUGAGUUGCUUAGAUUAAAUUGAAGUCUCAAGUACUAAAAUCUUGGGGAGAAACCCUUGCUUCAGGUUUCUGUUGAAAAACAAAUGAGCUGAGAUUUAGCUCCUAGUUGGAUUUGACAUUGAUGGAAAAAAAUGAUCGCUAUUCCCAACUUAAGUUGCUAGAAUUGUUAAUUUUUGGGCAUUCCUGAACACGAUUUAUGUGUAAUAAACUAAGGUUUUAUUUAUUUAUUUAUUUUUUUGCAUGUGGACUUGGAUAUGUACACCUAUAAACUGGCUUGCAUGAGUAUGGCACCAUGCACUUUCUUGCUCCCUUAGGUAUGAGAUUAAGCAUUUUGGUUAAGUUUACUUUGUAUACAUGUGAACUUCACAAAGCAAAUAUACAAAUGAUUACCCACUUUAAUUGUCUGCAUGGAGUUGUCCAUCUGUCUUGACUGUCCGUUCACACUCUGGCUUAAUAUUAUAUUUCUUGUAGUUAUCAUGUAUGGGCACUUAAUUGUUGCGUAUCUUAUACAAAUUUUUGAGUUGUCUAUACAGGCUAUUCAAGUUGGUGCCACUAAGGUACUAUCACCGUUGUUGACCAUAUCUGACUAUUCACAACCAUAUUUUUCUGGCAAUGCAUGCUUUGGUUUUGAUGAUAAUCAGGUUUGACAUUUGUGUUCGUGCUCAUACUUCUACAUUUCCCAUUUAGUUCAAGUGAGUGCAGUGAUUGUUUCUUUUUCUUUUAGUUGAGUGAGUGCUUGGUUUCAGAUUGCAGAUUUAAGGCAUUCUGUUGAGAGCAGCCUACAGUCAGUAGAAGAUGAAGAUCUAUUUGUUGCUUCAGUAAAUUUACUCACUUCUGCUGCACAUUAUCAGGUAUGUUACAGUAUUUUCAUUUGCAAAGUUUUGAAGACCUCUUUCGUUAAUUUUAUACACGGAUGGAGGACUUGCAUGUUUAUAUACUUUGGUAUUGUCCUCUUCUCUAUGAUUUUGUUUGGUACUGCCUCUUAAAUUUUCACAUUGAACACUCGUGUAUUUGUGAUGAUGGAUUAUAUCUCUGUAACUUAAAAAAAAAAAAAAAAAAAGAAUUGUGUGACUGGUCAAAUUAUGUUGGUUAUGUUAUUUGCUCAGUAACUAUGUGUUCAAUCCACAUGAGGUUCUACCUAUGUUACUAUUGGAACUUUUGGGAGUUUAUGUUCUUUCCUUGACAUCAUGCUUCCAUCUCAAUAGUGAUGAUUUGGAUUCUCUAGUUAUUUUUCCCUUAAUUUUGUGCUUUUCUUUUGCAGCCUGCUUUUCUCAUUGCUUUCUUUUCAACUAUGGAGAGUCAAGAUGUCCCACAAAGCAAUGACAGUGGGAUGAAGCAUUCAGCAAAUGAAGCUUCAUCAGGGUUGCUUGGAUCCAAGAAAUCAAGGGUGAUAGAUGCAAUUCUUCUGUAUAUUCAAAUAUCUGAUGAUCUUAUCAAGAGGUAUUCUCUGGAUGGAGUUUUAGGCUGGUUUUGGUUUUGUUGUCAGUUGAUUUUUUUUAGUGAUGAUAGCUGUUAGAUCUUGUGGCUUGUAAUUUGUAUGUUGGAUACUGUUACUAUCUGAGGUUACAUGCUAUAAUCUGUCUGAAAUUUUAUUUAUCUUGUCCAGCAAUCCCCACAUACUGCUGAAUGUACUUAACUUCCUAAAGGCCUUGUGGCAAGGGGCUGGGCAGUACACAAAUAUUUUGGAGUCAUUGAAGAGCUCCGGAAAGUUCUGGAAGCAUCUGUCCUACUCAUUUUCGUUAAUUACCAGCUUGCAAUCUCCUGGACUUGAAGACAUAACAGAAGUGGAGUCUCACAAUUUAGCAUACGAAUAUCAGUGUCAAUCUGCUAUAUUAGACAUAAUGGCACAUGAUAUAUUCCUGAAGCAAAGGUUAUUACAAGCUGAGUCACUUGUUAAACAAGCCACAGAAUCAAACGGAGGGAUAGAAAAUGUAGUAAGUGCUGGACAGUCAAAAUCUGCAAAUGAUUGGGGUGCUGAGGAUAUUUUGUCAAGUUGGUAUCAGAGCUCUGUAAUGUGUGAGCUGAUCAAGUCAUAUACUUCCUGUGCGUAUGAUAAUGAGAUAAUUUUUCGUGCAAAGGUGACUUUCCUGCUAGUUUUCCUUAUUUUUCUCGGCAAUUCAGUAGAAAGAGAUAUGCAACUUCUCAUUUAAUUUCACAAUUCUCCAAUUGGCUUAAUAAGAACUUCCGAAUUACAAUGGUUUAUACCUGACUGAAUGAUACUCUAUGAUGUGGAGUACAUCUGUUUGUACACAUGGUUCUUUGAUAAUUGUUUUAUCCCCUUGUUUUAUACUCUUUAUAUUCAAAUUUGUAAAAACUGUAAUAUUCACAAUUUUACAUGCUACUUCGCAGGUUGCGGUCAGUUUACUUACUGUGCAUAUGAUAGGGAAAUUAGCAACCGGUGAUUCGGGAAGUUUGUCUGUUUCAUUGCUUGAGAAGGUUCGCCUUAUGUCGAAAAAGGUAUGACCCAGUCUACUAUAGGCAUGCUGUUAAUCUUUUCUAAUUAGGUGAUCCUUUUGAUCCAUCAUCUUUGUUUCACAAUUACCGGUCUGUUUUUCUCCAUUUCUUUUUGUCUUUGAGGUCACAUCAUAUUAUUUGGAUGAUGAUAUUUUUGUCAACAGUUGACCAGCCAUGCUGCUUUUACUCAAUUACUGAUGCAAUACUCACAGCGUCGCUACAGGUAAAUAAAGUUCAUGUGUUUUCUUUUAUAUCAACUGUUUUAUUUCGAAACAGGACAUCUAAAUCCAAUUAGCCAUGUUAACUGCUGAUGCUGAAUGAAAAAUGAUGUUUUUUUUAAUUUUUACUGAGGUUUGUAAAUGUAUGACUGAAUGUCCUUGUGAUGUCAUGUCAACUUACUUGUGUACUGCUUGACCAAAAUGUAGAGGUCUGGGCUAUAAUUCUGUUUCAGAAUAUGAAAGGCAUUAGUUAUAUAUAUGCACAUUUAAUUAAUUAAUUAAUUAAUUUUUUAUAAUUUCCCAUGAUGUGAUCACUCUCUUGUCUACUAAAUUAAUAUUUUUAAUUCUUUGGAAUUUCUUUCCAGUGAAGGAAAAGAGUUGACGAUUUUAAUACUCAGUGAUCUUUACUGUCAUCUUCAAGGAGAGCUUGAAGGUCGUGAAAUCAGUCCUGGGCCAUUCAGAGAACUAUUGCAGUAUCUGAUUGAAUCUAAGUUUUUGCAGUCGUACGAACAUAAAUACAAUGCUGACCUAUUUGCUGCGUCCGAAGAUGUGUACUUGUUUGAUCCUGUAUGCAUGAGAGAAGAUUUGGGUUUGGACAUGUGGGAUUAUUCAGAAUGGAAAGCAUUUAAAGCAAUUGCUGACACAACAUUGCAUUGCAUGCAAGAAGCAAACUCAAUGGUGUUACUUGCAACUUCAAAGCUUUCUGCUCUGAAAGCAUUAGUAACUGUCUUAACAGUGUAUGAAAAUGAUGUAAGUCCUCUAAUUCUGAAUGCCUUCUGUUAAGGUCUGCUAACCUUGAACAUUAGAGAUCUAGAAAAGUUUGUUCAGUGAACCUAUUUAUGUUUUUUUUUCCCCUUCUUUUACACUUUUUUUUAUAUGUAGAAGUAAAGUUUAAUCUCACUUUAAAGAUCACAAGAGUACAUCUAAAUUGAUUUGAUUUUUAUCUCUUCUCUUCUAGAGGUGUUCUGUUUAAUUUUCUGGUUCUGUGUAGUUUCAAUGGAGAUACUGACUAAAAGAAUGCAAUUAUAAGUUAGGGAGGUGUAUUUAUGUAAGUUUUUGAAGCUUUGGUCAGAAUUUGUGUUGAAACCCUUAGAAAAUAUGGGACGUAUCAUGCUAAUAAUUGAGGUGUAUUACACAAAUUUUUCGAUUUGCAUGACAGUGGGCUAACACUUUGAACACAAGGUAAAAAUAUUGUUAAUUAUUAAUAGAAUUUACAUAAAGGACAUUAAAUAACUCUGCUGUUCACAUGUUACAAUCUUUGCUCCUAGGAGCUUACAUUUAAUGUCAUUUAAUCUUUUGAGUGUUGGAUUUCUUGAGAAUCAAGAAUAUUGUAUGUGCAAAUAAGAAAAUAAACUUCUAUAUGUUGUAAAGAUAGAUUUGAUGAACUUUGAUCAUUUCUUAUAUUUUUCAUUUUUGAGAAUUUAAAAAUAAUGUUGCUGCAACAUUAUUUUUAAAUGAUCAAACUCCUACAUAUUGGCUAAUAGCAAGAGGGAUUUUAAUCUCAUGCUUUCUGGCUUGGGCAUAUAAUUUUCCUGUUUGUGCAUUUGCUUGUAUUAUAGAUUAUUGACUCUUGUCUGAUGGGCAGUCACUGGAGAAAAGGUCCAAAAUUGGAAGGAAGAACCCUGAUGACCUCACUCUUUCAUGCAUUGAUCACAUAUGCCAAAAUUUCCAUGUGACGGUCGAACUGUUAGCUCUGGCUCCAGGUGCCUCAAAAGAUAUCCUUGAAUUCCUUGCUGCUCAGGCAGAACUACUUCUCCAUCUUGUGAAAUCUGUUCAGAAAAGACCAACUUCACCCAUUUGUGUAGUUUUAAAAACCUGUGGCUCUGGCCUUAAAGUGCUGAGUGACUUGAGGUCAUCAGUUACUAUGGUGAAUGUAACGAUAAAGCAUUUGCUUAUGUUGCUUCUCUUGGUGAUGGAGUCUACUUGCCUUAAUUCACAUCGAGAUGGGCUGAAAGAUAAGGAAUUUGAAAACUUAGCUGAGAUUUCCAAUGUGACCUUGGGGUUACUACCUCUUCUCUGCCAUUGCAUAAUUUGCGCAGAGCAUUGCACUCUCUCCCUGACUAUUGUGGACCUGAUACUGAGAAGUUUGCUGACACCUAAUACUUGGUUCCCCAUCAUACAGCAAUAUCUCCAGCUGCGGCAUGUCAUUCAGAAGCUUCAAGAUAAAACAACUUUUGAAUCCAUUCCAAUAAUAUUGAAGUUCUUUUUGACACUUGCACGAGUUAGAGGAGGUGCUGAGAUGCUCAUUAAUGCUGGUUUUUUCUCUUCGCUUAAAGUUUUGUUUUCCGAAUUAUUGGAUGCUGGGCCUUCCUUUGUAGUCAAUAAUGAUAAGAUUCCCUUCAAUCUACCGGAUAAAACUGAAAAGCUUCAUCAAAUUUGGGGACUUGGCAUGGCAGUGGUUGCUGCUAUGGUUCAUUCUUUAGGAGACAGUUUUUGCACGGAUAUAGCAGACAAUGUCAUACCUUAUUUCUUUUCAGAGAAAGCUUUUCUGAUUUCUUAUAAUCUCAGUUCACCAGACUUUCGGUCUGAUGAUCAUGAGAAGAAAAGAGCUCGUGCACAAAGGACCCAAGCUUCUCUGACUUCUCUUAAAGAAACAGAGCACACUCUCAUGCUGAUGUGUGUGUUAGAAAAACAUUGGGGUUCAUGGGUUAAGGCCAUGAAAGAAAUGGAUUCACAAUUGAGAGAAACAAGUAUCCAUCUUUUAGCCUUUAUUAGCCGAGGAACUCAACAUGUUGGAGAAUCUGCCAGCAGGACUGCCCCUCUCUUAUGUCCCCCUGUCCUCAAAGAGGAGUUAGAUUGGUGCAAUAGACCAUCGAUCGUCAACAGCAAAAGUGGAUGGUUUGCCCUUACACCUCUUGGGAGUGUGUCAAAGACGAAGUCAUCUUCUGCUUCAGCAACAACUGCUCUUGUAAUCAGGGAUCAAACAACAGACAGUAGUCUUGCCGUUUCCCAAACAUACUUCUCAGAUGCUGUUGCCAUGCAGAUCUAUAGAAUUACAUUUCUUCUUUUAGAAUUUCUUUGUUUUCAAGCUAAGGGUGCUGCUGAAAGGGCAGAUGAAGUGGGAUUUGUCGAUCUUGCCCAUUUUCCCGAGCUUCCGAUGCCUGAGAUUUUACAUGGCCUACAGGUAUGAUGGUAACUUUUGUUUUAGUAUCCCAUACAAUCAAGGGCUAGUUAUAUAUCAUUUGUCAGUGGUUUGCCUAAUAAAAGAUCUUGUAAUAUUUAAUCAAAAUGAAUUAAAAUUAUUAAUUUAUUGUCAUGACGUUUUUCUGCUAUGUAGACUAUUUCCCAGUGCCUUCUCUUGACUUAUUAUUGGAAAUUGCAGGAUCAGGCAGCUUCUAUUGUUAUUGAAAUAUGUGAGGCGAAUAAAUUGAAGCAGAUUGAUCCCGAAAUCCGUCACAUCUGUCUUUUACUGCUUCAAGUAAUGGAAAUGGCCUUAAACUUGGAACUCUGUGUUCUACAGAUUUGUGGAAUAAGGCCUGUUUUAGGACGUGUGGAAGAUUUCUCGAAGGAAGUCAAAUUGCUCAUAAAAGGUAAUCAUUCUUUUAUUUUGCCAGCAAUCAUAUAACUUGACACAGAUUCAUAUAGAAGCAAUUACAAUUCGGUUCUUUUUCUAUAGCAACUGAAGGGCAUGCAUUUCUCAAAGCAUCAAUGAAAUCAUUGGAACGUAUAACAUCACUCGUCUAUCCGGGAUUGCUGUAAACCAAUGUCAUAUUCCGAGGAAUCAUUCUGCAAAGAAUAGCUAAACUGUGUAUGCUUAAAAAGAGGGUGAAAAUUUUGUAGAUGUUAUGAUUACUUGUUCUUUUCNNNNNNNNNNNNNNNNNNNNNNNNNNNNNNNNNNNNNNNNNNNNNNNNNNNNNNNNNNNNNNNNNNNNNNNNNNNNNNNNNNNNNNNNNNNNNNNNNNNNNNNNNNNNNNNNNNNNNNNNNNNNNNNNNNNNNNNNNNNNNNNNNNNNNNNNNNNNNNNNNNNNNNNNNNNNNNNNNNNNNNNNNNNNNNNNNNNNNNNNNNNNNNNNNNNNNNNNNNNNNNNNNNNNNNNNNNNNNNNNNNNNNUUUUUUUUGGGGGGGGGGGGGGUGUGUGCGGCGGCGUGGGAAGGAAUGUAAAUAGAAGGGAUAUUUUGUACAAAUAUUCCGGAUGGUUAUAUCAUAUAAUUGAAGCAUUAUUUUCCAGUCAUUCUUCUGAGAUCCAACGAGAUGUCUUGUUGUGGCAAAGAUAUUUCUAAUUGCCUAGUGAAAGUCAUUUUCAGUCAAAUUUGUGGAGAAUUUCAUCGACAUUAAGGGGGCUUCUGUUAAUUCAAUAUAGAAUUUUCAAUUUUGUGGGUUUUUGCUUCUGAUCAACCACAAAAAGACGUGCAACCGAGUCUAGUUGGCGAUGGUAACUCACCUGGGGUCGAGCCCUCACAAGGAUUUAUUUCAGUUCUCUCUCUCAAAAACUGUGAAUUCAGGGAAGACUAAAUUAGUGCUUGUAACAAGUUAAAAAAACUAGAAAAAGACAUUGAAUGAAAUUUAAUCAUGAUUUUGAGGGCACGCGUAACUGUCACCAUUAUUCAUGUACGUGAAGAUGUGAAUUAUCUCUCCAAAGGGACAGUAUUGUUUGUCUUUAGGCAUGCAGCGGGGACUCGCACCUUUCGAAGGUGGUAUCCAUAUAAACAAAUAAUUCACAAUUGUGAAGACACAUGGAUUUCAUGGCGCCAAAGUUCCAAUAUUUCGAAAUGGGCACACUACUAUGUUUGGUCCACACACAGAGAGCGGGAUGAUUCUUCUUCCCUGGGAAUAUUUGAGAUUAUUUCUUACUUUAGAACGAAAAAGAUAGUGAUAUUAAAUUUGUUACUAUAUUCUCUCUUAAAAAAAAAAAAAAAGAGUGAGAAGCCAAUGAAUGGCGCUUGUGAAGAUUAUUAGUAUGCCCCUCUUUCAAUUAUUUGUUUAGUACAAUGAUGAUUACUCACUCAAAUCACUUUUUUCAUCAAAACACGGAUAAACAAAGAAAGAAAAUCACUUUUGCUUUGCAUCUAAUACCUCUCUAUCUCUUUACCUACGUAUUUUUAGCAAGGAUGAUGAUAUAAUCAAUUCCUUUCCGCCGCAUAAGCUGUCAACUCGGAAGUAUAUAAGUGCAUUUGUACAAUUAUUUUUAUUUGGAAAGUGAUGUUAUAAAUUCAAAGCAACUUUAUUUUGGGUUUCUUAGCUUAAAUUCUUCUAAAUUUUUAAAUUAUCUUGUAUCAUUUAUUUAUUAUUAAUGAAAUGUAUGGAUGAAAUUUAACUACCUCUGAGUGGGGAAUUAUAGUUUGUCCAGUACAGAAUCUUUCUAAUUUCGUUUUCCUUCUUUUUCUUUCUAAAAGUGAAAGCUGCCAUGUUGACUAACAUUAUAUUCUUGUUUAUUUUUGAAGUAUUUUUUGUAUUUAUAUAUUAUUAUUUGUUAAGGAAACAAGAAGACAAAAAUGAGAAAAAAAAAAUAUAAUCAUCAAAUGGGCAACUUGAAUUGGAGGAUUAUACAAAUAUCAAAUGGGCAUCUUAAAUUGCAGGAUUUGUGGAAUUCAUUAAUGCGGACGUUAUUAUAAUUUGAAAUUUUUUUAGAAAUAAUAAAAAAUAUAAUUUUUUUUAAUUUUUGUGGCGGAGAUUAAAAUAAUUCGUAUGAAUUCGACAGAUCGUAUUUGUACACCGUCCGAUGAGAUUUAAACUCACUCAGUCAGGUGUAUUUAAUUGAUUAAAUAAAUACUCAGACCAGUCAGUUUGAGUUUAGUACGUAUGACGAUUUUUGUACGAUUCCGCUACGUAUCAUAAAUAUGCGCAAUUUUAAACCCAAACAAACGACGCCGUUCCCACUGACAAAACGACAUAUCCAAAACUAAAAACACCCAGCCUUGGAUCCCUCACAUAACUCUAGUAAACCUUAACUCAACCACAGUUACUUCCACCCCGCCCCACGAUACCUCCACGUGUCCCACCUCAACGGUCCAGAUUCACUUUUUGUUACUCCCCCACCGCUUCAUCCCCUAUUUAAUUGCCCCAAAACCCUAACAAAUUCGCCAACAAAUCACCAAAUCAGAAGUCCGUGUUUAGUUUGUUUUUUUCUCUCCAAUCAACCAAUCAAAAAUGCCAAACCCCAAAGUGUUCUUCGACAUGACCGUCGGCGGUCAGCCGGCCGGCAGGAUCGUGAUGGAGCUCUUCGCCGAUGUCACCCCCCGAACCGCCGAGAACUUCCGCGCCCUCUGCACCGGCGAGAAAGGCAUCGGCAAGUCCGGCAAGCCUCUCCACUACAAAGGCUCGUCCUUCCACCGUGUGAUCCCCGGAUUCAUGUGCCAGGGGGGAGACUUCACCGCCGGAAACGGAACCGGAGGCGAAUCAAUCUACGGCUCGAAAUUCGCCGAUGAGAACUUCGUGAAGAAGCACACCGGCCCCGGAAUCCUCUCCAUGGCGAAUGCCGGACCCGGAACCAACGGAUCUCAGUUCUUCGUCUGUACGGCCAAGACCGAGUGGCUCGAUGGGAAGCACGUUGUGUUCGGUCAGGUCGUCGAAGGGAUGGACGUCGUCAAGGCCAUCGAGAAAGUGGGGUCCAGCUCCGGCAGGACCAACAAGCCCGUCGUGAUCGCUGAUUGCGGUCAAUUGUCUUAGAUUUGAUCAUGAUAAUGAUCGCCAUCAUCACGAGCCGUCUGAUCGCGAUCGUGAUGAUGAUUAUGUUAUCUAUUAUUAUGUGGGCGUGUCUGUAGGACUUUUAAUCUUUAUCUAAUUUUCCUGCUAUGUUACUUGUUCGGGUCGGAUCGGGUCUCCGGUGGUGGUUCUUGAUGAACUGUUUUUUAUGUCUUUCUAUGAGCUGCCUUUUUAAAUAAGAUAGGGCUUGUCUUGUUAUAUUACGUAUCCUUUUUUAUGUUUUUUAAUUUCAUGUGCUUUUUUUUUCUUGAAUCGGCGGGAAUCCGAUGGCGGAAUUGCCGAUAAAUCGGGUAGAGGUUGGAUAAUUAUCGAUAUGGAUCUGCAAAAUAUCUGACAUACGAAAUAAAAAAAAAAAAAGGAAAUUUGAAAAAUUAGCGUGGAAUAUCCUUCGGAAUGUUCUUCUCUUGGACUGAGAUUUUUGUGAGAUAGUGAUUUUGCUGGAGAGGGCACGGGGGUCGGACUUUGAUCUGGGCCUUAAUAGGCCCAAUUUUACCAGUUUCAACUCGUGUCGGCUCCCCAUAAGCCUAAUCUUUCACUGAGACGAAUAUGAAUUGGACUUUGAUCUGGGCCUUAAUGGGCCCAAUUAUACCAGUUUCAACUCCUGUCUUCUCCCUAUAAGCCUAAUAUUUCACUGAGACGAAUAUGAAUUUGGAAUUGGAGAAUUGCUGCCAUUCGUCAUAUCUAUUCUUUCUCCCACUCUGUGAUCCGAUGAGAGGAAUCUUGGCCUACUUUUGUUGCCGCGUCGUCCAGUCAUCAAGAAAUUCUCGCACUACACAUAUAGUUAUAAUCACAACUUAACACGGAUCGACAUGACGUAGCUGUGUUUUGGCCAAUUUUAAAAGUUACAACAGAUCAAUUUUAAUUUUUAAACUAACGAAAUUGAAUCAGGCCCCAAAAAAAAAAAAAAACCCUCACAAAAAAAAGCCCAAAAAUAAAAGAAGAAAAAGCGUGCAUGGUUGUUGCUUUUUAGCACCAUAAAUACCGGGUAAACAGAUCAAAUUAGAAGACCAAUCACUUCUGCUGUGUGUUUUGUCAAUAAUGAAAUUUGGUAUCUCAUUUUUGCCAAUUAUGCUAUAUAUUUUUUUUUGUGUUGGGCGCAAUUUAUCAUUUAUUAUGAUAUAAUCAUAUUUUCUCCAAAGAACAAUUUCUUGUAGGAGACACUUCUUAUAUCGCCCGCGUAUAUAAAUUUGAAGUUGUAAGCUUCCUUACCAAUGGCACUUGCUAUCAUGUAGCCGAAUUUGAUGAUAGCAGGAAAUUUCCUGUAAACUCCAUUUCCCUCUCAUUUUCAAAGAUAAUUUUCUGCUUCCUUACGCAUUCUAUAAAUUAUAAACAAUAUAUAAUACAUUGUUUCUUCACGAUGGUCGUAUUGCUUGGUAGAAUACGGCUGAUUUAGUAUAAGGAUGACAACGUGGCGGAGUAAUUGGGUAGACCAUCUCGAUUACCCACCCCCAUUAGAAUAGAUUUCAUUCUCUAAUGGGGAUAGAAAAUCUUUGUGUAAGAUAAGUUAUCCAUCCCACCGUCUUCUCAUUUGCUUAUUUUAUUGUUGAUUUUUAUAUAUAAUUUUGGUGAAAAGAAAAUUAAAAUGACUAAAAUAAAACCACCACCAACAUAUUGUAAAAUAUUUAAAUUAUUAAAAAUAAAAAAUAAUCCAAUUGAAAUAAUAUCUUAAACUAUAUAAAAAUAUAAAAUAUUUAGACGGUAGAGAUAGGGUAAGAUGUAUAAAGCCAAAUUUCAAUCUAUAAAUUAUUUAUAAAUUAUUUUUUUCUUACUUUUAGAAAAAUCAUUAAAAUUUAUCUCAUUUGAGGUAGGAUUUCAUGGAGCAUUUUGCUAUCCUUUUUAAUACAAGAACAAUGCUAUCCUUUUUAAUACAAGAACAACUCAUGCUUGUGAACAAAUAAUUCACAAUUGUGAAGACACAUGGAUUUCAUGGCGCCAAAGUUCCAAUAUUUCGAAAUGGGCACUACUAUGUUUGGUCCACACACAGAGAGCGGGAUGAUUCUUCUUCCCUGGUAAUAUUUGAGAUUAUUUCUUACUUUAGAAUUAGGGCCGGCUUUAGAGUCUGAGGGGCUUUAGGCAAAAUUUUCUUAUGAGUCCUCUAUUUAUUUUGUAAUUUCAAUACUCAAAGACAUAUAAAAAGAAUUAAAAUUUAUUUCAUCUUUAAUUUUUGAAUUUCAAUAAUAAUAAAAAAAGAUCAAAAAUUUUACAAAUAAAACCUAAAAAAUAGUCAAGAAGGUAUUUUUUUUAUUCCAUUAAAACCGUUAAAAACAAACAGACAAAUAAAUAAAAACAAUAUUUUUUUCAAAUAGAAUAUUUAAAAUGAUAGAGUACAAAAUUUUGAAAUGAUGAAUUGAUGUUCAAAAACAAAAAUGGACUUUAUAUUUUAAGAAACUAAUUAUUUUACAUGAACCAAUGAAUAUAAUGAUUUUCUUUGUAUAGAAAAGAAUAAGAAAUUUUUUUCAUUUACUAAUUCUUGAGAUUAUAAGGUUUUUAAUAGAAAUUAAAAGAAAUACUAAAAAUCAAAGAUUCUAACAUUGAAUAAUUAAAAAGGUAAAUAAUUUUUUGGAAAUAAUAAUAAAGAAUCAACUAAUGGUUAAAUAAUAUUAUUAAUUAUAUUUCUUUAAAAUUAAGGUUUCCAAAAAUAGAUUUUUUUUAUCAAAAAUAACUCUUAAUUCUUAAAAUAUGUAUUAAAAAAAUUUAUUAAUUAGAGAAUUAUUAAGAAAAUAUUAAAAAAAUGAGACCUUCUUAAAAUAUGAGGCCUUAGGCGACUGUCUUACUCGCCUAUACCUAAAGCCACCCCUGUUUAGAACGAAAAAGAUAGUGAUAUUAAAUUUGUUACUAUAUUCUCUCUUAAAAAAAAAAAAAAGAGUAAGAAGCCAAUGAAUGGCGCUUGUGAAGAUUAUUAGUAUGCCCCUCUUUCAAUUAUUUGUUUAGUACAAUGAUGAUUACUCACUCAAAUCACUUUUUUCAUCAAAACACGGAUAAAGAAAGAAAGAAAAUCACUUUUGCUUUGCAUCUAAUACCUCUCUAUCUAACCACUUGGGCUUAGGGCUAAGCCCAAGUGGCUAGAGCUACUCAUUCAUAAAUGUGAGGGAAGCGGUUCGAGCCUCCGUAAACGUAUUGCAGGAGUUUAAUUUAAAUUUUCUUUUUUGGAGUCUCAGAGCUUGAGUGAAGACAGUCUUUCUCUCAGGAUGGGAGUUGAUGUUCCUCGAAUAUUUGAGAAGGUUUUAAAAUCUGAGCGGUGUCAUAUCAAAAUUGAUGUAAACGGGUCUCAAUAUUUAUAUGAUUGUAAAUAUCAUGAGCAAUAGUUCUCAUUCAAAAAAAAAAAAAAAAAAACCUCUCUAUCUCUUUACCUACGUAUUUUCAGCAAGGAUAAUGAUAUAAUCAAUUCCUUUCCGCCGCAUAAGCUGUCAACUUGAAGUAUAUAAGUGCAUUUGUACAAUUAUUUUUAUUUGGAAAGUGAUGUUAUAAAUUCCAAGCAACUUUAUUUUGGGUUUCUUAGCUUAAAUUCUUCUAAAUUUUUAAAUUAUCUUGUAUCAUUUAUUUAUUAUUAAUGAAAUGUAUUGAUGAAAUUUAACUACCUCUGAGUGGGGAAUUAUAGUUUGUCCAGUACAGAAUCUUUUUAAUUUCGUUUUCCUUCUUUUUCUUUCUAAAAGUGAAAGCUGCCAUGUUGACUAACAUUAUAUUCUUGUUUAUUUUUGAAGUAUUUAUAUAUUAUUAUUUGUUAAGGAAACAAGAAGACAAAAAUGAGAAAAAUAAAAAAAAAUAUAAUCAUUAAAUGGGCAGCUUGAAUUGGAGGAUUAUAUAAACAUCAAAUGGGCAUCUUAUAUUGCAGGAUUUGUGGAAUUCAAUAAUGCGGAUGUUAUUAUUAUUUGAAAGUUUUUUUAGAAAUAAUAAAAAUGUAAUUCUUUUUAUUUUUGUGGCGGAGAUUAAAAUAAUUCCUAUGAAUUCGACAGAUCGUAUUUGUACACCGUCCAAUGAGAUUUAAACUCACUCAGUCAGGUGUAUUUAAUUGAUUAAAAUUAAAUAAAUACUCAGACCAGUCAGUUUGAGUUUAGUACGUAACUACGUAUGACGAUUUUUGUACGAUUCCUCUAAGUAUCAUAAAUAUGCUCAAUUUUAAACCCAAACAAAUGGCGCCGUUCCCACUGACAACGACAUAUCCAAAACUAAAAACACCUAGCCUCAGCUUAAGGGUGUUCAUAAUCUAAUCCGAUCAAUUCAAUCUGUCUGAUCCGUAUAAAUUCGAUCCGUGGAUCCGUGAAUUGGAUAUGGAUUAAAAUUUUAAAAAUCCGCAGUCGAUGGAUUGGAUAUGGAUUUACUGGUACAAAUCUGUAAAAAUUCGUGAAUCCGCAAUAUAUAUAUGAAACACAUCCAUUAUCUUAUUUCCUUCUGGUAUCAGAGCCAAAGGAAGGAAAGUGUUGUAUAGUUUAGAGUCUCUGUGUCUAAAGACUUGUGUUUUAUUUUAAUUCUUGUUUGUGUGGUGAAUUCCUUACUGGUAGUCAGUCCCGCUUUAGGAUAAGAUUUUCCGCUUAGGGCAGUAAAACCAAACCUGUAACCAUACCAACAAGUCUUUGAGUAGACCAUAGGUUUUGAUCCAUGGAUUCUCUACUCUGUAGAGCAUCGUCCUUUUCUAGCUUUUCUUCUGGAAGAACUAGCGAUUCAAAGAAUGUUGUGAAUUCUGAAGAAUUUGUUAUCGAAGACUUCAAUAAAGCAAUUGAUAAUUGUGAAUUACCAAAGGUGAAUAAAGAAAUGAUUUACAAAACAAAAAUCCUUGAUUUUUUAAAAAACAUAAAGACCGAAGAACGUGACAUAACCCUUUCAGAACCUUUUGAAACAAUUCAUUUGUUUUCAUAACAGUCUUUAAAGAAAUUAAAAGAUAAAAAUUUUAAUUAUAUUCACAUCGAACUAAUACAAGUCGGCAUAAAACCUCUAACAAAAGAAGGUCUUGAUACGUCUAUUCUGGCUGUCCUGAGAAAUGUUCGUUUCAUCUCCUUUGAUGAUUCUUUACUAAGUAGUAUAGAAUCAAGUCUUUGUAAAGGUCCCAUUUCAUUCAAUUGUUAUCCCAACAUAACAAUUUCUUUAAAAGACAAGAACAUUUUAAAAAGUAUGAUUUUACAAAUCAAGACCCAUAAUUAUCACAUGAUAAAAGGAUCUGUCCCAGUUGCUUUAAUCUUUAAAAUUUCUUAUAAAGCCAUGAUUUCUGCGUUUAGCACGCAACAUAAAUUCCAGUCAAAAAGAGACGAGACUCUCCUUUUACAAACUGAUCUGUCCAAAGCAAAUACUGUCAUUCCAAAACCAAUACAAUGGAAAGAUAUCAAUCUUCCAGAUGAAUGGAUUUUUGAAGGUGCCACUGCACCAGUGAUUCCGAAACAACAUGAGCAAAGACAGGAAGAGAAUGACCCUUCUCCUCCAACUUCUCCUACGUUUUCUACUGUCACAGAAAAUGUAAUAAAUGUCAUAACGAAAGACUUUGAGCUGAAUAAAACUCUUCUUCACAAUGAUUUUUAUUAAGAUAAUAAUAAAGAAAAAUGACUCUGGUUUUUUAAACAUUUUCUAAAUCAAAGAAAAGAAAUUCAAGAGACAUAUUAUGCAUUUGUAAAUUCUCAAAAAAUUCAUAUAUUGUUUUUUGAUUGGUUUGAGAUAUAUUCUUCCAAUAACAACAUCUCUUAUCCUUUUAAAGAGUCAAACCCUAUUACUGUUAGGAAGAAAACCCCUGAGUGGAAUCUUUCUGAUAGCAAUAGAACCAUAGAAUCUGAACAUCCACAUCUUAGGAGUUUAACUAUUAACCAUGGUGAACCUCCUAUUGAGAUUAGAGCCUCACCUUACAAAAUCCCAAAACCAAAUGAUUCUGAUGCGAAUUUAAGUAGUAUUAUUCAACAGAAUAAUUUUUGUAAUACUAACUUAAAUACUAUAGGAAAACAAUUGACUAGGAUAGAGAGCCAGUUCCAAAAGCCAACCAUAAAAGUUUCUCUUGUUUCAUCAAAAUCGGAUUCUGACAAAAAGCUUAAGGAACCUAUUUUCAAACCUUUCCAGGUUUCGAAAACUAGCCAAAAGCUUGUUCAAGAGUCAAAAUCAGAUUUUGCUAAAGCCAUUAGAGACCAAUUAGAUAGAAUAGAAGCUUCCUCUUCUUCUUUUUCUUCUAAGGUCCAAAUAGCCCCUGAUAGUGCCUAAUCCAGCAAGAUUGGUGUACUAGAGCAUGACGAUGUUUCUAUAGUCUCUUCAGACAUAGAAACAUUUAAAGAAAAACCUUAUGAUCCUCAUGCUAACAAAAUCCAUUGGGAUUUAGCCCUACCUACUGUCAAGACUCCACCAGAUCUAGCUAUAAAUAAUAGACCAAGUGCUUUAAAUCAAUCACGAUUUAAUGCAUCUUCUGUCUAUGAGUGGAAUAUUGAUGGUAUGUCUGAAUACAACAUUCUAGGAUUGUUGCAACAAAUGACCAUGGCAGCCAAUGCCUAUAAAACACAGACGGGAACUUCGGAUAGAGCCAUUGCAGAAAUUCUCGUUGCUGGUUUUACUGGUCAACUUAAAGGAUGGUGGGAUCAUCUCCUUACCAAACAACAACAAUUAGAUAUCCUAAACUCCAUUCAAGUUGAUGAGAAUAAUGUCCCUAUUCUUGAUGAGUUCAAUAGUCCAAUUCAGGAUGCUGUAGCUACCCUGAUUCUGACUAUAUCCCUCCAUUUCAUAGGUGACCCUUCUCACCUUAGAGACAAAAACGCCGAGUUACUACACAACCUGAGGUGUAGAAAACUUAGUGAAUUCCAAAGUUAUAAAACCACUUUCUUCACCAGACUCUUCCUUAGGGAUGAUUCAAAUCAUAUAACUUGGAAAGAGAAAUUCCUUGCAGGUUUACCUACCCUACUAGGAGAAAAGGUUAGGAAUUCCAUUAAAGCUCUUUAUGAUAACCGAAUUCCUUAUGAUGAGCUCACCUAUGGUGAACUUGUUAGUUUUGUCAAUAAGGAAGGCUUAAAGAUUUGUCAAGAUUUGAAGAUACAGAAACGUCUAAAAUGGGAGCUUAAGAAGUCUAAGCAAGAAUUAGGCAGUUUCUGUAAACAAUUCAAUUAUGACCCCUUUAAGACUUCUACUUCCAAAGAUUGUAAUGGUAAGUGUUCUACAAAACCUUACAAGAAACAUUACAAAUCUAGAUUUCAUAAGAAACCCUUUCAAGACUUUAGAGAACUUCCUUAUAAGAAACAUUCGAGGCCUUAUAAGAAACCCAGCUUCUCUAAAAAGAAAGAGUUUAGAGCCAAACCAAAAAUCUCGUUUAAUUAUAAAGAAGCCACAUGUUACAAAUGUGGAAAGAAAGGCCAUACUGCAAAGUUUUGCAGAAUGAACAGAAAGCUCCAUGAGCUUGAUCUUGAUGAAGAAACCUCUCCAAAGUUGCCUCUUUGCUUAUAGAGUCUUCUGACUCUGAGUCUUCCAUGACGGGAUAUAGUGAACCUCUACAAGUUGAUGAGUUAAAUGACUCUGAAUUUGUUUCUUUGAGUGACUCCGACACCAGCAAUUCAGAUUCCUAUUUAAAGAAAAUCAAUGUUUUCACUAAAGACCAAGAAAUUUUUCUUGAACUUGUUAAACAUAUCACUGCUCCGAAUCUUCAGAAAGAAUACCUUGAUAAACUUUUAAAGACCUUAGAUUCUAAUAAAGCAGAAACUUCUAAAGUUCCAAUUGUUAAAAAGAACUCUUAUGACCUUACUGAGAUUUUGGACAAAAAGAAAACAAAGAAAAUUAUCCCCAAUAUCCAAGAUCUUCAGAAAGAGAUCAAAGAAAUCAAACUUGAGAUUAAAGAAUUAAAAGAAAAACUAAAGAAUGAUUCUGAUACUAUCCAACUUCUCAUACAAAAACAAUUAGAAGAUAAUUCUGAUAAAGAAGCCAAAACUGAUGGUGACAAUGAACAAAACCUUGAAAACAUUGAAUCUGCACCUAAUGAUUUCCUAUUUGUUUUAAAACAAAUCACCACCAGAAAGUAUUUGAUGAAAAUCACUUUAAUUUUUUCUAAAGAUUUUGAAAUUGACACCAUUGCCCUCUUUGACACUGGUGCCGAUUUGAAUUGCAUUAAAAAAGAUAUUGUCCCUAAAAAAUUCCAUGAAAAGACAAAUGAAAGACUCUCGGCCGCCAAUAAUUCAAAACUAAAAAUUAAGUCAAAAGUAGACGCCUCAGUGCAUAACAAUGGUUUUGAAUUCAGAACUUCUUUUCUUCUUACAAAUCACAUACACCAUACUGUCAUUUUAGGAACCCCAUUUAUAAAUUUAAUUACCCCAUAUACUGUCAAUUAUGAUAGCAUAUCUUUUAAAGCAAAAUCCAAAAAGCUUGUUUUUUAUCUUUUAAAGCAAAAUCCAAAAAGUUUGUUUUCUCUUUUAUUGAAAAACCAAAAACGAGAAAUCUAAAUAUUGUUAAAGCUUGUUCUGUUUACCAGAACCAAAUCAAUGCCAUACUUAAAUCUAAACAAAAUAACUUUUUUUGCUUAAAAAAUGAUUUAAGUUUACAAAGAAUUGAAAGCCAAUUACAAAAUGACUUUAUACAAAGGAAAAUCUCUGAUUUUAAAAAUCUCAUUGAAAAAGAAAUAUGCGCCGAUUUACCAUCUGCUUUUUGGGAAAGAAAACAACAUUUGGUAGAUUUGCCCUAUGACAAUUCUUUUGAUGAAAAACAAAUACCCACUAAAGCUCGUUCAAUCCAAAUGAACAUGGAAUUAGAACAACAUUGUAAAAAUGAGAUAAAAGAUUUAGAAACCAAAGGACUCAUUGUAAAGUCCAGAUCCCCAUGGUCUUGUGCCGCUUUUUAUGUUAAUAAAAACUCCGAAAUAGAAAGAGGAACACCAAGACUUGUAAUAAAUUACAAACCUUUAAAUAAAACAUUAAAAUGGAUUAGAUAUCCUAUACCUAAUAAAAACGAUUUACUCCAGAAAUUAUGUUCAGCUUUUAUUUUUUCAAAAUUUGACAUGAAAUCGGGUUUUUGGCAAAUCCAAAUCCACCCUAAUGACCGCUAUAAAACUGCCUUUACCGUUCCUUUUGGACAAUAUGAGUAGACUGUAAUGCCAUUCGGUUUAAAGAAUGCACCAUCAGAGUUUCAAAGAAUCAUGAAUGACAUCUAUAACCCUUAUUCUGAGUUUUGCAUUGUUUAUAUAGAUGACGUGUUGAUUUUUUCUCAAACAAUUGAUCAACAUUUCAAGCAUUUAAAAACCUUUUAUUUUGCCACUAAGAAGGCUGGCCUAGCCCUUUCUAGUUCUAAAGUUUCAUUGUUCCAAACAAAAGUCAGAUUCCUUGGUCACUAUAUUUCUAAAGGAACUAUCACCCCUAUUGAACGAUCACUUUUGUUUGCGGAUAAAUUUCCUGACAAAAUUCUUGAUAAAACCCAACUACAAAGAUUUUUAGGAAGUCUAAAUUAUGUUCUUGAUUUCUGUCCUAAUAUUACCCGGAUGUCUAAACCUUUGCAUGACAGAUUAAAAAAGAAUCAUGUUGCAUGGACAGAUGAACACACCAAAGCUGUCUGAUUGAUAAAAAAUUCUGUAAAGAAUAUUCUUUGUUUAUUCUUGGCAAAUCCUGCAUUACCUAAAAUAGUUGAAACAGAUGCAUCUGAUUUAUGCUAUGGAGGUAUACUAAAACAAAAAGAGAAUGAUAAAGAACGGAUAGUACAAUAUGUUUCUGCACAUUGGAAUGAUUGGCAGAAAAAUUAUUCUACUAUAAAAAAAGAAAUUCUUUCUAUUGUUUUAUGCAUAUCUAAAUUCCAAAGUGAUUUAUUAAAUCAAAAAUUUCUGCUUAGAAUUUAUUGCAAAGCUGCAAAACAUGUUUUGGAAAAAAAUGUUCAAAAUAUUGCUUCAAAACAAAUUUUUGCAAGAUGGAAAGCCAUUUUAAGUGUUUUUGAUUUCAAUAUUGAAUUUAUUAAAGGAGAUAAAAAUUAUGUCCUUGAUUUUCUAACCAGAGAAUUUCUCCAAAACAGAUAAUGCCGCCAAGAAAGAAGGAAAAAGGUAAAGCUGUUCUUAAAGACUCUGAGUCUCAAGCAACCUCUAAAGAACCUCAUUCAACCCCUUCUAAAGAAAAAUUGCUUUCUUCUGCCAUGCUCAUCAAAUCCUGGAUUGAAAUGGUUGAAGAACAAGAAGCCCAAUACAAAGCAAUUACCUCUGAUGACCAAGUAAAACAAUGGAUGAGUUCCAUUACAAAAUCCCCUGAGCUUAUGCUCGCUCUACAAAGCUUUUCCCAAAGCCAAAUUUCUCCUAAAGAAGAGAUCGAAAAAGAAAAACUUGUUUCCAAAGAGAUUUCAAAACCCUCUUCUCAAAAUGUAGUUGUCUCUGGUGAAAGUUCAUCUUCUCAAAUUGUGCUUUCCCAGCCAACGCUUUCAAAGAAAUCUUCCGAUUGGUUUGAUAAAACCCACUUCCAAAAUAUUUUAUCUAUGGAAGAUGGUUUUUACCAUGCUGAUCCUUUUCAAGCUAUUUCAAAGUUUUUUCCUAAAGGCUGGUUUUUCAAACCAUGGGAUCUUACAAAACCCCAGUCUUACUAUCAAAGCAUUUUAGAAGCCACUGAGUCAGUAAAAUUCAAACAUUUCUUUCUUAGUGAAACCCAUUCAGAGCCAGCCUAUUCUACAGCUACUAUCCUAAAAGUCUUGAGCCCAAACCAGUGGGGUGAUCAACUUCACAAACAAAAAACCUUCCCUCCAAAUUUUCAAAUGUGUUUACCACAUUGUUUGACUUAUUCCUAUUGGGAUUACCAACAAGCCUGGUAUAACACAUUUUUUAUCCAAAACCCCAAAAAAUCUCACUCUUGGUUAUUUUUCUUCAAUUCAAAAAUAACUGUUCAAAGCCUCCCAAACUGGUUUCAACAUUGGUGGAAUUCUUUUGGCCCAAUCCCUCAGAUCCUAACUCCAAAUGCCACCCAUUGUUUAAACCUCUUUAAAACCCACUAUAUUCCUUCUGAAUCCGAGAAAAGGUUUCCCCCAUUUCUCUGUUUCUAUACAAAUUUCUUCCUUCCAAGGGUAUGGAUGUGGAACCUCAGAUUUCAUACUCAAGAUGCCCAGCUCAUCUUACAAAGGACAUUCAAAGUAAAAUGGUGGUCAAAGUUUGACGAACAGUCUAAAUUGACAGACACCCUGAUCCGCAAUUGGCUCUGUUCUAAAGGCUUCUUAUCCCUAUCUAUUAAAGCCGUGAAAGCCCAAGAGACCUUUCUAACCCAAAAAUCCAAAGCCCAAUCUCUGUUGGCCAGUGCCAAAUCUGAAGAAGAAUAUUUUAAAGUCAUGGAGCAGCUCCUCACUUCAAGAUCAAAAUCCUCAGUUGCAGACUCCUCGGAUGAUGAUCAAGAUGAAGAGCCCUUUAUCUCUCUUGGAGAUGAAAAUGAAGACGACUGCUUUGGAAUUUUCUCUCCAAUAAAGCAUUGUAAAUAAUUGUCAUGUAUGUUUAAAAAAAAAAAGAAAAAAAAAGAGUAUUCCAGUAUUUUUCCUUGUAUUUUCCAUUUUUGUUCGUUUGUUUGUACCCUCGGGUGGUCCCCUGGACACAAGUGAGAGCGCACAUGUCUCUUCACCCGAAUUAAAAUUAGAAAAGACUAUAUGUUCCAAAGAUUACUGUUUCAAGCAAGCUCCGCUACAGUAGAGAAGCUACAGGCCAGCUACAGUUAAAAAAAAAAAUUUUGUAUUUAAAUCGAGAGGAAGACUUAGACUCCUCAGAUUUUUCAGAUCUAAUUUUCUUUCUCUUCUUCUUCUCCCUCUCUCUCUCUCUCUUGGGAAGUCUGGAUCAAGACAUCAAGGAAACCUUUCCUGUCUUGUAAUCUUCCCACCUUUCAAUCUUUCUUCUUGAAGAGAUCUGUAAAAUUGUACAAAGGGUUGAGUUCAAAGAAAUAAAGCAAACAUGUAUGUUUAAUUCGUUCUUUAAAUUUUUAUUUAAAGCUUUGAUGUAUAUUUAAAGUUCUGCAUUUUAAUUUCCGCAAUUUAAUUUAAAGCAUUUAAAUUUCAGUAAUUUAAAUUUUAUGCAUAUUUUGCAGACUGGUCUGUAUUAGCUCUGUCAUAAAACUGCUACAUUCCUCUGAGGCAACGAGACCUGAUCUCUAUCCUCAGUUGUAUCUUCUCUUCUCCCUCCAUUCAUUCAGAGUGCUUUUUCUGGGAUCCAGAUCUAGUACUAUAUAUGAGCCUUUAGAUCUGUUGCUAGGCUUGUUUAAAGAACCUAAUUCAUAUCUGGUAAAGAAACAUAGUAUAUCGGCUGGAAAACAGAACGUGCGUGAUAUUGAUAUGUUCUAAGUCAGACAAUCGCGAAUUUAUUUCUUUGUUUAUAAUUUCUUUCUUAAAACACAUCCAUCCUUCGAUCCUAUUUCCUUCUGGUAUCAGAGCCUGGUACUUCUAUACCAGACGACUGCUUUGGAAGUUUCUNNNNNNNNNNNNNNNNNNNNNNNNNNNNNNNNNNNNNNNNNNNNNNNNNNNNNNNNNNNNNNNNNNNNNNNNNNNNNNNNNNNNNNNNNNNNNNNNNNNNNNNNNNNNNNNNNNNNNNNNNNNNNNNNNNNNNNNNNNNNNNNNNNNNNNNNNNNNNNNNNNNNNNNNNNNNNNNNNNNNNNNNNNNNNNNNNNNNNNNNNNNNNNNNNNNNNNNNNNNNNNNNNNNNNNNNNGUUUUUAUAUCUGCUGUACGGCCAAGGCGGAUGUACGGUACAGCAGUUAAUUAAAAAAUUUAUAAAUGUAACAUUACAUAGUUACAUAAGCACUAUAACAUAUCUUAGCCAUUACCCAAUAAUAAUAUUAAAUAAAAAAUAAUUAAAAAAUCAAAUAUACAAUAUAACUUAUAAAAAUUAGAAAACAAAAUAAAAAGCAAAGUCACACGCACUAGCAACAUCAAAGUAACAUAAUGGCAAGUUACCAACAAUUUGUAAAAUCACCCAAAAGUAAAGUAACAUAACGCCAUGAUGAGAACCAUCAAGGGAAUACCAUUAAAGUUUCAAGUGAUCAUUUGCAUAUUCAUGGAGGCCCAAUUACAAGGGUUAGAGCCAAAAAGAUGCAAACCGCUUUAAAUGGAUUAAUUGAGAAAAUAUGGAUUGAAAAUAAAAUUCAAGAUGCAAGACAUUAUGAAUUGGGCUUGAAGAGAAGACAAGGCAUUGUAGGCAUUAUUCAAGUUAUUGGGCAGCCAAAUACACAAUUUGUAUCAAAUGCAAAAAUGUCAAAUUCGGAAUAAAACUGGUAUUGAUUGAGGCAGAAGUAAUGUGCAAGCUAUAUACCAUUGGAAAAAUAAUUAAGUUAGCUUUCCAAUGCAUUUUACAGAGCUAGAUUUGGAGUUCUCUAAAAGGAGUUAUGACCAAUUCAUUAAAGUUUAUUCAGACUUGAGAUUUUCAACGACUCAUUCGUUUUUUAACUACAUUUCUUUAUUUUGUUUCAAGUUUGUCAAUGUAUAAGGUAAGUCUACCAUAAAUGAUGGUGGGCUAACAUUAAAUUUUUCAAUGAUAGCAUUAAUUAUAGUCGGCUAGCAUUAAAUUUGUCAAAGAUAACAUUAAUUAUGGUGGGUUGGUGAAGACUUUUGAAGCAUCCUUUGACAAACUUACUUUGAGGAUUGUUCCAAUGUUUCCAUUUGUAUUUUUAGGAUCUUGGGUUUCUUUUAGACUAUUUAAACUCAGCAACCUUACUAUGUAAUGGAAUUAGAGAUUAAUGUUAGUUGAAUUUGAAAGAUUAUUCUUUCUUUCGUUCUUUUGAGAACUAGUGAACUUAUCAAGAAUUUGUAUUCUUGUGGCGUUCCAAAUUUAGACUUAUUACUCACCUUCUCAUCUAUUUCUUAAGUGUGGCGUCAAUAUCAUUCUCUAUACCUUUGGUUCAUGUUUUCUUAUGCAUUGGGUCAAGAUUUUGUUUGUGUUAAAUCUAUUUAGAACUUUCCUGGGAAGUUGAAACUACAAAUUAAGUGUGGGUUUGAAAGUUUCAUUGUGGGAUUCGCAUUACGCCCAGUCACCAACAAUUUGCAAACAAAAAACCUUAAACUUUCCCGCCGUCACACGCACUAGCAACUCCUAAUACUGGUUCGAUACACUAUCGACACCAAUUUAAAGGACGUCGAUCGCGUGAUUCUAGCGAGAGCAAGCCAUCUUCGUCCCUGAGUCCAUCGAGCCACUUCCCAAUCACUGGUUCCAGCCAAACAAUUGCACUAUCACAACAUUCAAGAUCGCCACCCGUACUUCUCCUGGUUCCCAUCAUUGACGGCUCUGUAAUCACCACUUUUCGACAAGUGCAAUAGCCAUGGUGAAGGAUCAAACUGUGUUUGGUUUCAAAAAUUUCGCCAUUUCAAUUAAUUGUGGCUUUAUUUGAACAAUUAAUUUCGGUGUUAUAUCAAUGUAUUAUUGUAACUUUAUUUGAACAAUUAAUCUUAGUGUAUUAUAUUUUGAAACUUUAAACGUAUUAUUUUAGUUUUAUUUAAACAAUUAAUUUGUUUAAAUUUUAUUCAAUUUUAAAUUUAAUUGGUAGUAAAAUUAUUUUAUAUUAUAUAUUUUUUUAAUUUCAUUAGUUCAUGGAUUGAGGAGAACUAAAAAUUUUAAAUUCGAAAACUAAUGUGCUAAAGGUAGAUUAGAUAUCAAUUAAAUUAAAUCCGCAUCCGAUCCGCAAACGUAUAGAUUGGAUAUGGAUUGAGUCAAAUCUGUAUCCGAUUCGCAAAUGUAUGGAUUGGAUUUGGAUUGAGUUUAAUCAAUCCGUGAAUUUGAUUGAAUUGAAAAAUUAUAAUCCGUAAUAUUAUUGAUCAGAUAUAAAUUGAUGUCUAAUCCGUAAAAUCCGAUCCGCGAACACUCCUACCUCAGCCUGGGAUCCCUCACAUAACUCUAGUCAACCUUAACUCAACCUCAGUUACUUCCACCCCGCCCCACGAUAUCCCUCCACGUGUUCCCCCUCAACGGUCCAGAUUCACUUUUUGUUACUCCCCCACCGCUCCAUCCCCUAUUUAACUGCCCCAAAACCCUAAAAAAUUCGCCCAAAAAUCACCAAAUCAGAAAUCCGUGUUUAGUUUGUUUUUUUCUCUCCAAUCAACCAAUCAACCAAUCAAAAAUGGCAAACCCCAAAGUGUUCUUCGACAUGACCGUCGGCGGUCAGCCGGCCGGCCGGAUCGUGAUGGAACUCUUCGCCGACGUCACCCCCCGAACCGCCGAGAACUUCCGCGCCCUCUGCACCGGCGAGAAAGGCAUCGGCAAGUCCGGCAAGCCACUCCACUACAAGGGCUCGUCCUUCCACCGUGUGAUCCCCGGAUUCAUGUGCCAGGGGGGAGACUUCACCGCCGGAAACGGAACCGGAGGGGAAUCAAUCUACGGCUCAAAAUUCGCCGAUGAGAACUUCGUGAAGAAGCACACCGGCCCCGGAAUCCUCUCCAUGGCCAAUGCCGGACCCGGAACCAACGGAUCUCAGUUCUUCAUCUCUGCGGGCAAGACCGAGUGGCUCGAUGGGAAACACGUUGCGUUCGGUCAAGUCGUCGAAGGGAUGAACGUCGUCAAGGCCAUCGAGAAAAUGGGGUCCAGAUCUGGAAGGACCAAAAAGCCCGUCGUGAUCGCUGAUUGCGGUAUCUAUUAUUAUGUGGGCGUGUCAAAGGACUUUUAAUCUGUACCUAAUUUUCUUGCUAUGUUACUUGUUCGGGUCGGAUCGGGUCGCCGGUGGUGGUUCUUGAUGAACUGUUUUUUAUGUCUUUCAUUGAGCUGCCCUUUUAAAUAAGAUAGGGCUUGUCUUGUUACAUCACAUAUUCUUUUUCAUGUUUUGUAAUUUCAUGUGCCUUUUUUUUUUCUUGAAUCGGCGGGAAUCCGAUGGCGGAAUUGCCGAUAAAUCGGGUAGAGGGUGGAUAAUUAUCGGUAUGGAUCUGCAAAAUAUCUGACAUUACUGGGGUGACUUGGUCGGCGCGUGGGGUAGAGCAAGUAAACGGAGAUGAAAGGAUAAUUUUAGAUAAGGAGGGAAGAUGACAAAAGGGGAAAUAUAUUUUUUAAACAUGCAUUAUAAAAAUUGGAAAAUAUAUAGUAUUUGUCGUUUUGAUGGAGACCCAGCACGGCUGCAUGGGGCCUAGUAGUUGGAGAUUUUUGUGAGAUGUGGAACUGUAUAGUAGGUGGAGAAAGAAAAAAAAAAGGGCAAAAAAAGGAAAUUUGAAAAAUUAGCGUGGAAUAUCCUGCGGAAUGUCCUUCUCUUGGACUGAGAUUUUUGUGAGAUAGUGAUUUUGUUGGAGAGGGCACGGGGGUCGGACUUUGAUCUGGGCCUUAAUAGGCCCAAUUUUACCAGCUUCAACUCGUGUCUUCUCCCAAUAGCCUAAUACUUCACAAAUUGGAGAAUUGCUGCCAUUCGUCAUAUCUAUUCUUUCUCUCACUUUGUGAUCCGAUGAGAGGAAUCUCGGGCUAGUGUUGUUGCCGCGUCGUCGUCCAUUCAUUAUGAAAUUCUAGCACUACACGUAUAGUUAUAAUC
rnacentral:lncRNA from 1 species